UAAUGAAAAUGCAUCUCUUGAUGAAAUGCUUCGAUAAAUAUUAUUUUAUCAUGUUUGGUUUUGGGAACAAAUUCCGCAACACUUUUAAAUCAAAAGGAUUUACUCUGAAAUUAUUUUAAAAAGCAUAAAUGAAAUCAGUCUUUUCUGACCGUGAUUUUGGGGAUGUCACAGAUGAUAACCACGGACUAUUCUAGACAGUCAGUAGAACACUAGCAGGCUCGCGACUUCUAGGUGUUUGUGAACGAUGUGUUCAUCGGUGUACUCUAAAACCCAUUGACAUGUAUUGCGAGAGGGAUCUCGAGAAUGAUACUGUCAAUAAACAAGAUAAACUUGUUAUUAAAUUCGGGAGUAUGGAUCAGAUCAAGAUUUAGGUAUAGUAAAUUGUCCUUAGUCCGGGAGUAUGGAUUGGGCGUAGUUUUAGAUCCGAGAGUAUGGAUCAGACCAAGAGGUUAGUUUUAGAUCUGAGAAUAUGGAUCAGGUGAAGAGAUUAGUUUUAGAUCCAUGAGUAGGGAUCAAGUAAAGAGGAAAGUUUUAGAUACGAGAGUUUAGAUCAUUUCGUUGUGAGGAUCGAUGGGGUAGGAUAAGAGUUGUUUUUAUAUGGUGAAAUUAUAUAAGUUUGUAAGUUCUAUGUGUGUGUGUGUGUGUAUAUAUAUAUAUAUAUAUAUAUAUAUAACAUUGUGGGUUGAAAACCCUAUAUGCUCACCAGGCUCCCAAGCCUGACCCACUCAGUUUUCUUUGUAUUACAGGUUAUGGCACAAGAGCAUAAGUUGGCUGACAUAACGAGAGAUUUUGGAUUAUAGGUGUAAUGACCCAAAUUUCACGUCCAAAAUUUUCAUUUUUAAUCAAUACUUUGGAAAACAUUUGUAAAUAAAACAUUGUCUUAUCAAAUCAUUUCAUAUUCAUACAUCGUGUUUGAAAACCAAAUUACGAAUUCAACCAAAUGUCAGAGUACAAAUCCCAGAACAAUCUCGUAAGGCGGAAAAUAGUGUGUGUGUGUGUGUGUGUAUGAUGUGCCACUACUGCGCCAGCUCCUUCCCCUUUGAUGAAGAGGUAUCUGAAACCAAAACUAAAAACUGUAAGCACGAAACUUAGUGAGUUCCCCCAUCGUACCACAUACCAUACAAUCACACAACAUACAUAUAUUGUCAGGCAUAUCUGGGUGCCCGACCUACCCCUUCGGUCCUCUCGACCAGAUACUGGCUAACAUAUCUGGGUGCUGGCCUCACCUUUGGUCAUGUCGACCGGAUACUGACUAGCAUAUAUGGGUGCUGGUCUCCCCUUCGGUCCUCUCGACCGGAUACCGGGGACUAUUUCACCCCCUUACUACUACCACAUAACACAUAUCACAUAAUCUAUCUAGCAUGGCUGGGCAUGACCGCCCCUUCGGCCCUAUCGACCGGUAAUCUAGGGACUAUCUCCCCUAUUGUCACUAGCACAUAGCAUCAUAUCAUACUAGCACAUAAACAUAUUGAUAGUAGCAAACCUAGAUGAAUAUCACAUAGACAAUCAUCUAAUCGUACAACUCCUACUGACGGGCCGGCAUUGUAACCGUAGACCCACCGCUACUGGAAGGUAACUCACCUCGAAGUAGUUGUUGAUCUGUGCGGGAACUGACUAUCUGUUGCUGCUGCUCCGGAAAUCCUCCAGUUGUAACUCCCACAAAACACUCAAUCAAACACUGCUAACUGUCCUUAGGGUAAAAUGACCAUCUUACCCCCGACCAAGUCAAAGUCAAAGUCAACUACCAGUUGAACUGACUCGUCGAGUUGGCUCGCCAACUCGUCGAGGCCCUAUCCAUUCGAUUGANUAUGCCCAUCUCUACUCGUCGAGUUAGGCGAUGACUCGACGAGUUUUCCUUCCAAAUGAACAUCGACUGAAUCUUCAUCCGACUCGCCGAGUUGUAUGAACAACUCGUUGAGUUCAUUUUCAACUGAUAAACAGGUCCUGUCCUUGACUCGCCGAGUUGUAUGAACAAAUCGUCAAGUUCAUCUUCAUCCAUAUGAAGAUUGCCUUGGACUCGCCGAGUCUGCUCAUGCAGUCGCCGAGUCCCAUGAAUAUCCCGAACAAUGGCUUAGUCCAAAUCAUUGGGUCACUCCCCGGGACUCCCUAAAACCUUUCCACACUCAACUGGGUCAUUUUGACCCUCAACUGAUUUGGGGACUCAAUCUUGGACUCACCGAGUCCAAUGAUAGACUCGCCGAGUCUGUCGCAUAUUCACACUAGAUCUUCGAUUUCUGAUGUACAACUCUUGAUCAAAGGAUAGAUCUAUGCUCCUAGGACCGUUCUAGCACGUAAAGUUACAACCUUUACGUGCUUGCAUGGGACUUUAAGCUCAAAAGGUCCUAAAACAAGCCCUUGAGUUACAUGGAGCCUUUCUUGGGUGGAAAAGCACCCCCUUUCUGUUUAGUGACCCCUCAAGGGUCCUAGAUUCGUACCCUCAUCCCCAACCAUGCUUACAUUCAUGGUUGGCUAGCUAAAAUGGCUCAUAAAUCCCUAAAACUACACAAAAUGGGAUCUAACAUUUGGAAGAAGAAGGUACAGACUUUUUACCUUGAAUGAGCUGCAAAUGAUGCACAAAUUCGGAUCCCCUUUAGUCCCUUCUUGCUCCUUCAAGCUUCUCUUCCUUCCUUGGAUCACAAGAACACCAAACUCACUUCAAAUGCUCUAUUUUGCUUCAACAACGACUAGGGUUUGCUAUGGGGGUCCUCUGGGAGUAAAUGGGAUGAAGGAGGUCAGGUUAAAGUGUUUAAAUAGGGUGCAAACCCUCGGAUUAGGGUUUUUGUCCAGACAAGGUCUACUCGCCGAGUCCACAGCUUAGACCCUGCGUCUUAUCCCGCUUCUACUCGGCGAUUUGGUCCUUCAACUCGCCGAGUCCAAGGCCAAAAAUUCAAAUAUAUAUAAAGAGUUAAUUACAAGAAUACGUACCAAGAACCAUAUGCUACCAUAGGCCAGUAGUUAUGAAUAACUGUUGUAAGGUCUAUUUGUUCUGUUUAUGUUUUUGGUCUGUAUUGAACAUGACAUCCCGAGAUUUUGUUAUAUAAUGAAAAUACAUUUUAUAAAGAAAUGCUUUGAUAAAUUCUUAUCAUAUUUUGUUUUGGGAACAAAUUCCGCAACAGAUUUCUUUAAAAGAUUACUCUGAUUUUAAAAACAAAGCAUAAACAAAUCGGUCUUUUCUGGCCGUGAAAUUGGGGAUGUCACAAGGACUCCCAAGUUAAUUACAUCCCAUAUAACCAAGUUCAUACCCUUUAAUCUCUCAUGCAAUAACCAAUCUUCUCUCUCCCCCUCUCUUCUUCCAGUCUCGGCCGAAACCACCACCUCCCCACCAUCACUUUUUCUCUCUAACUCACCCAAUAAAUUCUCUCUAGGGCUCUCAAGAAAAAUCUCACUUCCCUCUCCAAGUUAGUGUGUGUGCCUGUGUAGUGUUCAAGAACUUUUCAUCAAAGCUCAUCAUUUUGGUAAGUUUUGUUUGACUCCAUAGUUUUAACUUCAAUUUUACACCAAAAACUUCUUCUUAACCCACCUCAUUUCAUGGUCUAUGUUCUUACAACAACUUAAAGCUCGAAAAUCAUCUCAAGAACACAUCUAGGGCCGAGAUCUCUUCAUUUCUUCAUCAAAAACAGAAAUCUUCAAACAAAGGUGAGUUCAUACCCUUUAUUUUCGGUUUUUACUUUGUUUUGAGGGAGAAUACUAAUGGGUUUUAGGUAAAACAAAUAACCUAGAAAACAAUUCCUAAGUUCACAUGCAACCUACUUUGGAUCUAUGUUUUAACUAUUGAACAUACAACUUUGAAUUGCAAAACAAGAACCCUAGAGGAGGUCACUAUUUUCGAAAAUAAUAAACUAGGGUUAGGAGUUAUAUACCUUUCAAUUGUUAUAGCAAACAAUUGACAAUUCCCUUGAUCUUGAUCUUGAUCUUCUUGUAAGCUUAGCACCACAAGUGUAAUGCCUCUAAUGGAAUCACACCCAAACUAGCAAGAAGGAAAGUAGAAGAGAGAGGGGAGAGGGAGUAUGCAAGAUCUUGGCCUUAGGUUUUCUUCAAAAGAAAGAGUGACCAAAAUAUGAACCAGGAGGCUCCUUAUAUAGCUGAGGGAUCUAGGGUUUAGGGGGAACCCUAGUUAUCCUUUGCUUAGGGCCUAAGCAAGCCAAAGGGCCUUAUCCAAGCCCCUAUGGACGAAAUCAUUAGGGUUUCCCCUAUAGAUUUCGUCCACCCUCUUCCAAGGGGGUUCUAGAGCCUUCCACUCAAUUAUUAGAUAAUUGCAAACUAGUCCCUGCACCUUACAAUUAAUACUUUUAACCCCAAAAUUAAUUCUGAUUAAUUUAUGGCUAACUAUUAAUUAAACUUAAUGAUUUCUAAUUAAUAUAUUAAUCUUUUAACAUAUUAAUAAAUUCAUUUAUAUUAAUUUAUUAAUCUUAUAAUAAAUUAAUAUCUCUCCUUUCAUAAUUUCCUUUUUGGUUGCUAGGUUUGAGGGCAACCCAAAAGGACUGUGCUGCUAUCAAUUCAAGCACAUAUCAAUUAUAGUUAUGGGCUUAGACACCUAAUCCAACAAAUACAAGUUGUUUUGUGUAGAUCUAUGUGUGUAUGCAUGAUUUUGUGUGUUUUCUUUAGUUACAUGUGUGUUUAUGUGUUGUAACUUCAUAAAGUUAAACAUCUACUAAAAGAUGAUGAUAUUGGUAUAACAUAAUACUUAUUUCAACAUAUCACACAAGAAAAAGGAUUAAAACACUCUUGUGAUACUUAAAUCUAAGAAAAACUUCAUGAAAGGGGCUAAAAUCAACAAAAUAACAAAGUUUGGGCUAAUUAUGUAACUUAUGGCUAGUAUGGGGUUCAAAAGGAAAUUUUAUUAAAACAAUGGCUAAACUCGACAUUUGAGACCUUAUAGGGAUCAAAAAUGUAAAUAUUUUCAUAAAUGGGCCUUAUUGGGCUUCUCACGGUUUUGGGACAAAAAAUUGUAAUUUUUGACUUUUUUGGGUUUAAUUGUCAUUUUCAAUAAAGUUGUGUCAAAAAUAUAAGUUUUUGAUAAAAAGGGGUUAAAUUUGCGAAAAUUAUGAACAUUUGGGUAAAAAGAUGAAAUUUUCUAUAAAUGGGCCGAAAAUGUAUAUUUUCACAAAAACCAAGCCAAAAAUGAUAUUUUUGACAAGAAUGAGUUAAAAAUGUUAUUUUUAUAAAUACUAGCCUUAAAUACAAGUUGUGUCCAAAAGAUGGCCUAAAAUGUUAGUUUUACUAAACUUGGGCCUUAAUUGUAAAUUUUUGGCUUAAUGGGCCAAGAAUGUCAAUUUUUAUAAAAGUGGGCUUUUUAUGCCGUUUUAGUAAAUAAUUGAGCCACUACUAGCAAAAUAAUAACAAAUGGGCUAAUUUUGAUGAUCUCAAGUUAUUGGGCCUUAGUGGCCCAUUUAUAUGUUUGAUAGGUCUUGAAUAUUAUUUAUAUGUUUAUUGGGUCUCAUUGACCCACUAAUAUGCACGACGGACCUUGGAUACUAUUUACAUGCUAUUUGGGCCCGUAAAUACCUUACAUGUGAAAUGGGCAUCGGUUGUCCUUUUACAUAUAUUUUGGGCCCAUGUUAUAUAAUCGUGUUCCUUUCGGGCCUGGAAAUGACUUAUAUGUUUAGCGAGCCUCCGUGGUUCGUUUACAUGGUUUAAUGAGCCAAGAAUGAGUUUUAUAUGUUUCUUUUCAUGUAAAUUCGAUUAAGGAUCUAGUGAGACAUGUCCGUUGACACCUAUUGAGUGUACGAUCGUAGCCUGUAGUUAUAACCAGAGUCUCUUGGAAUGAGAGCGGAGGGUUUGUGUAUAGAUCUAUACGGGGAUGACACCCCACACCUGAGUUGUUCGCUACAGUUAGACUACACCAGUCUAGGAUGACGAAAACCUUAUUCUAUUUUCCAUCGGCAUUUAACGACGCCAAGACAUGCGAAAUUGUCAUUAAUUAGUAUGGUUAUAACGACUCACUUAGAGGAAUUAAUGUUAUGAAAUUUAUGGAAGACCAUUCUUUUUUCUCUGUGGAUUACUUAAGAACAUACUCACACUGGUACUCGACCUCGGGGGUUGAUGUACCGACAUUCUAUUUUACAGGCAACAUAGGGUUGUCUGGGGACAUUCUCUUUACAAUCUCUUCAUUUACUUUUGGAAUUCUUUCAAACAAAACACACAUGCAUUAAUACAGGAUCGGACACAAACAUACUAAACUAUUUUAAUAAAAUACAGGAUUUUCUUGUGAUUACAAAGCUAUACAAAUCAUUUUCUCAAACAUACUUAUGAACUCACCAACAUUUUUAUGUUGACCUUUUUAAAUUGACUUGUAUUCUCAGGAAACCGUUGAAACAGGUUGGGCUGAAUAUUCUAACGGAUGUUUUGCUAUAUUUUGUUUCAUCACACUUUAAUCAUUUUGGCAUGUAAUAUUCAAACACAAUACUUAAUGCAAACAAUGUAUGUUGUAUUAUUACAUGUGUGAUGAUGAUGAUGUUAUGUUUCAUUUAUAUACUAUAUGAUGAUACUACAAGGAUGAAGUCACGCGCAAUCCCCCGGACGUUUCCACCAUCUGGUUCGAGGGUGUGACAAAUAAUCUUUUCCUUCUUCAACACAUAAACAAAUAUACACACUCAAACAUUGUUGAUUUCGUAAGUAUGUGAGGAAGGGAGACAAAUCGAGAUUCAAGAUCAACAAUAUAGAUGUUUUUUGUUGAUGAUUUGUUAUCAUUACGAAGUUUGUUUAAGUUUAUAUUUCUAACGAACAAUUCACUGGUGGUUUGAUUUUAAUUAAAAUGUCAAUUUGAUUUGGUGGCAAAAUGAAAUGAAAGAUUGAAGAUCUCUUGUUUUUGUAUGAUUCUUUAUCAGAAGUGGAUAUGCAACUUUGAAUAUUUAUAACGAUUAUUUUAUCAACAAGUUUUAUCAAAUAUUGAUUUGUAUUUUGAUCAAGUUUAUCGAUCAAAUGAAUAAGUCACCAUGAAGCUGAAUCGAAAGUGUGUAUGUGUGAGAGUAUGUGUUUAUUGUGGUGGCCAGAGAGAGAUGCAUGGGUCAAUUAUUAUUUUUUUAAUUAAUUAAAGAUUAAAAAAAUAUGAAAAAUACAAAAAAGAAAUUAAAAUGGCAAAAUGGCCAUUUCAAGUAUUUUUAGACCUAAACCACAAGAAAUUCUUGAUUUUGAACCUAUCCAAAGUUUUUUACAUACCACACAGUUAUAUCUCUAUUUUACUUUCAUACCUAAUUCAUAUAGACAUAUACAUAUACAUUAUUUUAGUUUUAUGCAACGGCUUACCAAAUAUUUGGCAUGUUUGUUAUUCCACCAUACAAACAAACGUAUUAAAACUCAAAUUUUUGUAAUUGAAAACGAAAUAAAACCACAACAAACAAAACCUUUAUUUUUGGAAAUAUAAUAAUGGCAUGUUGGAUUAUUAAAAUUUCUUUUAAGUUUAGACAAGGACAUGAGCUUUUUAUACAUAUAUCAAUAAUAGUAAAACCGAAUAUUUAGUAAACACACAACUUACCGUACAAAACAAGCAUUUCAAACAAAGUAGUAUCCGUGACUAAGAUGAUAUCUUCAAUCACCCAUACACAUAUACAUAUGCAUAUACGUAUGUAAACAUAACAUGUAUAUAUACCAAAAGGGGUUAUGUCUAAAAUACCCCUCCAAAGUCCAAAUCAUACCAUUCUAGCAAGGACUUUAAGGAUAUCCUCCACAGAUGUGAUUGCAUAAAGUUGGAUGAUUGGGACUCUUUGGACCUCUCAAGGUCUAGAUCUAAGGUUUAUUCCUCAAUGGGACUUCACAUGCUCCAUAUUCCAACUAAAGAAAGGGGGUAAAGAAACCCUAGAUUCAUGAGAUCUACUAUAUACACGAAAAUAGGCAUGGAUUCAUACAUCAAACAGCAACCUUUGAUGAAGUGAUAGUAGAUCUGAGCUCCUUAAUCAGCCUAGCUUGAAUCCCCUCCUUCCUUCUUGCAAGAAUGCACUAAUGGUGAUGAAAUUAGCUCCUUCCCUCACUCUCUAUGCUCUCUGGUUCGUUAGGGUUUCUCAGGUGUGUGUGUGGCCGCAAAUGAAGGCCAUAAGGACCCUUAAAUAGGGCGCAGGCCCAAAGAUUUAUGGUUUUUGUCCACAGCGCGGACUCGUCGACUCGACUUGCCGACUCGUUGAGUCCACUCAUUAAUCCGAGUCAUCAGUCGCAAUCCUACUCGACAAGUUUAGGCGUCAACUUGUCUAGUCCUUCUUCUUAACUCAAAAAUAAAUACUUAAAUUAUGAUAUCUGGAAAUCUGGAUGUUACAUCAAAAUUACUAGGUUUUUAACUGUGAGUAUUAUUUUCCACAAUAAAAUGCUUUAAUUCAAAUCCUUAUUAUGAUAAAGUUUCAACUAGUAAAAUAUCAAUCCUCAAUGGUAGUCUCAGGUUCGAACUUUCAGUUUCCUUACUUCAUACAUCAUGUCAAUCUUCAUUUUUAAACGAUAAUUUAGUCAUAAACUACACAUUUACUUUAAAGGUUAAUGACUUAAAAGGGUAACAUAAUUUGUUUUGUGUUCAUAUUUAAUUAGCAAUGUUUUUAUACAUAUUCGACCAUUGAACAACGAUUACCCCAACUUAACUCAGAAUGUUUACCAUUGAACAGUGACCGCACCAACUUUAAUCAUAAAUCAAACUUAAAAUGGUUACAUAUUUUGUUUCGUGUUCACAUUUAACCAACGAUAUUUUUUGUACACAUUUGUUAUAGGUAAUAUUACCUUUUUUGAAAAUGUGAAACAAGUUCAAUUGUCAAAUGUAUAUAAAAAAAAAUAUUGUUUACUAAAUGUGAACACGAACAAAAUAUGUUAUCAUUUUUAGUCAUUAACACUUAUUUCAAAAGAGACUUGAACCCUUAAAUAUUAUAUUUGAUGAUACAUUUAAUACCCGUUUUUUGUAACAAGUAUGAUCUAAAAGAGUAUAAUUUGUUUAUAAGACUAGCAAGUGAAAUAAAGCAUGGAGUUUAUUUAAGUUGUGUAUUUGUAUUUAGCGAAAUAUUGUUGAAGAAAGUUUCAGAACACCCGAAGACAAUUAUGUGGAUAUAAAUUUUGUCAAAAACGGAUUUUGUAUGAAGAAGUUAUGGUCAUUCGAAAAGUAUGUUGCUAUUUAUGGAAAGGUGCAAAGCAACUAUGCAGAUGGCAUGGUGCGAGGGAGGAUUUGUGCUCAACGGUCAGGUCAUGACACGAGUAUUAGUUAUCACGACCUGGUGAAGUGUACGGUGUUAGACACAUGUUGAGUGGGUGAGACACAUAUCAAGAGGAUGGGACACAUGGCAAAUCGUCGAGCCGUGCAACAUUUAUCACGACAGGAUAGCCUAUUGGUCACGACUCGAUUCUCAAAAUUAUUGGAGUAUAUAAACAGGUUUGUGUUGUUCAUUUAAAGAGUUUUGGAACUGAAAUCAGAGAGAGAACUAAAGAGAGAUGGUUCUCGGGAAAGUGAUUGGUGAGUCGGUGCUAGAAUAUGAGGGUACGAACCAUCGAUCGGGUUGAGAUAUCUUCUUGUUAUGUUAUUACGUUGUCGUGUUUUAUAGCAUAAUUAUAAUGAAUUAUUAGAACCCAAUCUAGUUUUUAGAAGUCAUAAUAUGGUGUUGUUGGAUUAGUGUCUAAGUCCAUAACUAUUUUGGUAUGUACUUGACCCGAUGGUGCAUGGUCCUUUUGGGUUGCCUUCACCAAAGCAACUUGAUUGGAGAAAUAAAUAGAAAGAGAGGAUAAUAUGAUUUAUUAAUAUGUUAUAAGGAUAAUAUAUUAAAGGAGAAAUCAUAUUUGUUUAAUUAAUAUUGGUCAAUAAUUAAUUGAGAAUUAAUUUUGUGAUCAAGUGUAAUUAAUUAAACUAGAGGGGCUGAAUUGUAAUUAUGUGAUAGUUACAAAAUAAGGUAAGAAUUAUCUUAUAAGUAUGGUGAACGAAUUUAAGGUUGGAAAGCCUUAGAAUUCGAGUAUGAUAAGGAUACAAGGAUUAUCUUAUUGGUUGCUUAAUGGAUAAUCAACUAGAUAAGGAUAAUGACUGAAACCCUAUCUCUACACCUAUAUAAACACCCCUAGGGUUAUGAAUUCGUGUAUCCCUUCCCAAGAAGUCCUAAACACGAAUUCUAACCUCCCUCCUCUCUCUAUAUAUCUUCUCCACUUGCUUAUGGUGUUUGUGAGCCAUUAGAGGAGUGACACUUGUGACUCUCUGCUUUCCAAGGUCAAUUCAAGGAGGAAUUGGAUUGUUAUUGCUAUAUAACAAUCAAGGUAUGUUCUUAAACCUAUUUACAUGUGAAUUCUGAUUUCCAUAUGCUAGAAUUAGGGUUCAAAGUCUUGGAUUCAAAGCAUGUACAAUAGAGAAACCUAGAUCCAAGCAUUAGGGUUUGUAUGAGCACAUAGGAUGUCUUAUGACCAAAACCCAUCAGUGGUAUCAGAGCCUAGCUUGGUUUCAAUUGUAUUGAUGCAUUAGAUAUCUGGAAAAUUCGUUUUUUGGGGUUCUGGAGGCUGGACUCGCCGAGUCCAUAGCUGAACUCGCCGAGUCCAAGGUGACUCGACGAGUCCAAGCCUGACUCGACGAGUCAACUCGUCAGAUGGAGGGUAUUUCGGGAUUUCUUGCUGUUUUUGCUUAUGGAUAGUUACCUUAUCAUGUUAGAUCAAUAUUAAUCCGAUUAUAUGAUAUAUUUGACUAUAUUUUUGAUCUAAUUGAAGAUAUUUAUCAAUUAAUAAGAUAAUUGUUUCCUUAUGUGAUAAUUGAUUAAUUAUUUUGAUUAAAUUGAUAAAUUGUUUUGCAAGAAAUCAUUAAAUAAAUCAAAUAUGGAUAAUUAUGUGAUUAAAUGUUAAUUUAGAUUAUUUGUUAUUUGAUCCUUGUUGUUAUGAAAAGUUUCAUAUUUUCCCCUUUAGGUUUUAUAGUUUAAAUUUGAACCCAAAAGUUUUGUUGUUUUGAAAUUUAAAUAGUUGAAACCCUAAUGUUUUGAAAAAGGUUUCAAAACUUGCCCUCAAGUUUUGGAAUUUAAAUUUUGAUUAAAUAGUUUAAUUUUGAUGUAUAUUUAAAUUCUAAACCCUAAUGUGUUGAAAUGUUUCAAAACUUGCCCUCAAGUUUUGGAAUUUAAAAGUUGAUUAAAAGUUUAAUUAGGAAUGUUAAAUUCUAAAACUCUAGUAUAGUUUUGAAAAAGUUCAAAUCACACCCUUAUGGUUUUAUUAAUUAAUUAAGGUGUAUAAUUAAAAGAGGUUUAAUAAAUCCAUAAAAGUUUAGGUUUACAAUUUAAUUGAAUUAAAAGUAUAAUUGUUAAAUUUGACCACCUAGUAUUUUAAAAGUGUAAAAUACACCCUAUACUAUAUAUAACAUUAAAAGUCUAACAUUAUAUAUAUGUAUGAGUAAAAGUCAGUCUUACCGUUAGUAGGCCUCAUUCACGAAGCUGGUCUAUAAGGGGUGUUUAAGGAAAUUGCCUAUAAAAUGGCGAUUGAAUGGGUAUCCACUCUUACCCACCGCACUCUUGACUAGUGGAGGGUCGUUAGCCGAACGGGUAGGAUAGGAAAAAACCUUCCAUUAUAAGUAUAAUGAAGUAUAAAAGUAACUAAAUGUUUUCAUAAAAUUCCCAAUCUUAGUUACUUAGGCAAAAGUGAAUUGAUGCAAUUCCAUGAAAUUACACUUUGUGCCCUUGCGAAGACGUUAGUGGAGCGUGUGUGGUUUACCGGCACACUAAAUGGUUCUAAGCAAAGGUAGCAAAGGGUGACUCAAUGUUUGUCAUAGUUCGGUGGAGCGUGUGUGGUUUACCGGCACAUCGAAUAGGUGACUGUAACAUGUGAGGGCACCAUGUAAGUUUGCAUGGUUAUUCACACCCGCUUUGUGAUCCUCGGCAUCCCAGUCACAAACAAGAGGGGCAUAUCGAGAUUUAAACAUGCCAUUGAAAGUUCAAUGAAUCUCAAAGGAUCUAGGAGUUUUCAUAGAUUUAAAACUUAAAUUUCUUUUUCGUUUUUCAUGGUGGAAAUUAGUGAAUCGUCAUUCACUUACCUUCAAAUGUUCUGCAAUUUGGGUUACGGCAUCCCUCUCCCGAGUUGUAGAAUAUUGUGUUGGGUCCUAGCCUUAGUAUCUCAUUUGGGUGAUUUACUAAGGACUCAAUCAAUCAACUAACUUGAAUUCGUUUUCUCCCGUUUUGUAGAUGUCAAAGUUCGACAACUAUGGUCUUCCCAAAUCCCGUGGAACAAGCAUUCCACAUGAAGAUGAUAUUCCACGAUUCGAUCGAGGAACAAGAAAUCAUGCUUCACUUCCUCCACCUCCUCCAAUUAUUCUCCCUAACCCACAAGUUCAAAGGCUUGAAAAGUUCAAGAUCACUCAAGCCCUUUUGGCAAGUAAACAUAAAGAAGGAAAGUCGGUGUGUGCACACGUCCUAGGGAUGAAGUCACACAUUGAUAGGUUAAGAAUGUUGGGAUCCGUUGUCUGUGAGGAAAUGGCUGUUGAUUGGGUUCUUCAGUCACUUCCUAACUCAUAUAGUGAGUUCGUAAGAGAGUACUAUAUGAUGAACCGCGACGUGACCCUUAUAGAUCUCACCUAUAUGCUUAUUGCUGCUGAAUCAGCAAUGGUUUGGCGCAAUAGAAAAGCAAAGUUGAUUGGUGAAUCUGCCUUCAAGACCUCUAUGGAUAUAGACAAUGGCAACGAAAGACAUGCUAUGAUCGAAAAGUUUGAUCAUAAGAGAAAGGCAAUGUCUGAAGUAGUUCCAUGUCAUGUUCCAAAAGAGUCAAUUUGCUUUUAUUGCCAAGAGAAAGGGCAUUGGAGACGAAGCUGCCCCAUUUACCUAAGAGAUCUAAGAGAUGGGAGAGUCGAAACGUAUGGCUCUAAUAUAGGUAAAAUCCAUUAACUAACUCUUUUAAGCUUCUAUUCUAGAUUCUUAAUACAUAAUGUGAUAAGAUUACAAUUGAUGUUUUGUAGGAUCGAAGAAAAGAAAGGAAGCUUAAGGGAAGAAGUGAGCAGAAUCUAACCGUGAAGGAAUGGAUUUCGAUCGCAUUUCUCGAAGAUUAGAUUCUUGAGCUACUACUUAGAGUUAGAAUUAGAUUGCUAAGAAAGAUGUAUUAGCAUAGUUUUUCAAUGAAUUGCAUUGUAAGGACAAAAUUUUUCCGCAAUAAAAUAAAUUUUGAUUUUAUAUUAUUUAUUUAUCCUUGCAAUGGCGUAUAUGAAAAAUUGAUGUUUGAAUGUUUCUAUUAUUAGCAAUAAUGGAUUUGGUUCUUAUUAUGUUAUUUAUGGAAAGUCGAGAAUUUACCAAAUAGGGAGAGUUUCUCAUCGCCCAAGUUUCAAUUGGACAGAAACUUGGAAUCAUGCAACUUGGUUGCACGAUGAAUGAGAAAUUUCAUAUUUGGAAAUUAGACUAAUUCAUUGACAAAGUGUCAAGUGAAGGACUAGGAGAUCGAGUACACAAAGUUGCGUGUUGAUCAAGUCCACCAUAAGAGUAACAAAGAUAUUCGUCAUGAUUUACUAAAGGUUUAGUAAAUAUGAUUAUACUUAUAAGAUUAAGUGUAAUUCUGAAUUGAUUUAAAAGGUUUAAAUCAAUAGCAGAACGAAUAAGAAGAAUCAAGUAGGCAGAAAGAUAAAAGUUUCUCCAUUCUAAGAAGAAGGGAGAGUACCUUUUAUGCUUUAUGAUAGGUCUUAAUGAUUAAGAACCAUAUCUCAAUUGAUCCUCUAAGUGAGUCUUAGUACAAUUGUAUGUCUAAGAAGAGGAAUCAAGAAUUGAAGAAAUGGUUAAAUCAAGAAGUCAAUCAUACUUCGUUCCAAAACAAGUCUUAGAGUUAAGAUUGUGACAUUGAGUGAUAAGUAUUAAGAAGGUUUAUAACAUUCAUUAAAUGUGGAAAGUUGUGAUGUCUUGGAUAAGACAAAGACCAACUAGGACCAAUUUAUGAAGUGUUUUGAUAAAAGCUACACUAACUCUUGAAUAUUUGUUUGUCAAGAAAUGUUUUUUGACAAGAGAAUCUUAUAUGUCAAGGAGUCAGUGGGAGUCUUAAUGGUCUUGAAAGGUUUCAAGAACAAAUCAAAUAAACCUUAUCGAUCAUCACUAGCACACGAGUUGAGGUUUACAACCUAUCGUGUUGACAUUAUUUUGAUUCUGUGCCAAUCCAAUCGAGUUAAUUAUGCAUGUGAGUUCUAUGAGUUCUCAUUUUGAACGCAUAAAAGGCAAAGCACCUUAAUCAAUGAAAGGUACAUUGAUAGGAAAGGGUGAGCUGCUUAACUACUUGGAAGACAUGGUGGGCAGCUGUGCUACCAUAAAGGCAAGAAAUCGAGAUCAAGAAAGUUCGAUCCAUAAGAGUUUGAAUUUGUCGUAAACUUUGGUUUUGACAAAUUCACAUGGAUAGGAACAAAUACACCGUUUAAAUCUAAGUGUCAUAAGAUUUCCUCCUUCAUGAAAAUGAUUGUGAGGAAAUGCUUUCACUAAGACAGAUUUUAAGAAGAUAGUGAUUGUAAAAUUGCAUUCUCGAAUUCAAUUAUGGUUACGGCAUCCCUUUCCAUAAUUUGAAUUGUGAGGUUUGGCAAUUAGUCUUAAUUGUUUAGACACACAUAUGAACUAUCGAAGGCAAAUGUGUAUAAGUUCAAGAAACCUUGAUAAAAGAUUAUCAAAGCACUAAGUAUUAGAAACAUGAACUUAAGAAAUUCAAUAAGCAUUUUUUUUCUGAAAGUUAAGAUGUUUAUGAAUACAUGUCGAAGCUAGUGGGAGCAUAAGUGUUAUGUUUUAUAAUAAUCAUCAAGAUAGUGGGAGCAUAAAAGUUAUGAUUGUAUGAUUAUUAAGGAAAGUAUUGCAAGGUUAGCAAUAUUAAUUAUAGAAAACAAGAGUCAUACUUUGCAAAGUCGCAAUAGUUGAAGAGUUGUUUUGCUAUAAUUAAGGGAGAGAAUAUUAUGCUUCAUUUCAAAUCUAAAGGUUUAGGUUGAGAAAUGUUAAUAAAAUUUAGUCAAAGGUACAAAGUGUGUUCUUAAAAUUUCGAUUAUGAUUACGGCAUCCCUCUUCACAAUUCGAAUUUUGAGAACAUAGCAAAUAAAACAUUAUGCGUCGUGUCCCAUACGCUUCGGGUAUAGGAUCGAUUGCAAAUGCUUUAAUGUUUGACCAUUCUAAAAUUUUCCAAAUGUCUAGCGCAUUUAGAGGGAAAAAGGACUAGAAUCGGUUUUGACUAAAAUAAUUAAACAACUAUCAAAGGACAAUCCAAAGUUCGACGAGGAUUGGUCGCUUGUGAGUAGUUGGAAGUAUAGUAUUGGAAAAUAUGGAAAUGUUUCCAUAUUGGAUGGACCAUAUCGACAUCAUUACGAAUAGAUAAGAUUCUAUUAAGAAUGAGUUGUCAUAUGGAACAUAUGGAAGUGUGUCCAUAUUGGGAAUUGAAUAUUGAGAAAUCUAUGACUAGAUUAGAAACUUCUAUGCAAAAGGAUGUUCAAAGAAUGUACUUUGAGUGAGAGACAUCACAUCUAUGGAAUUGUCUUGUAACAAUCUCCGAUAGAGGACUUUGUAAUAUCAUUGGCAAUAGUCUUUGUGACUUUGGUGCAGUGACAUUACGAAAGGAUAGUUGCAUAAAAUGUUAGAAUCUAGCAUAUUCUAUAAGUAGCAAGAAUUUGAUAUUCUUUCACUUAUGAAAAAGGAUUUGGAGUUGUGAAAUGAGAAUGAUUGGAAAUGUGUUCAAUGUGAUCUAUUUCACAAAGUAAGAACCAUAGGUAAACAUUGUGUGCAUGCUAGGAGCAUGGGACAAGUGUUGUAAUUCAAGUAAGAAGUUGAUUACCCGAAACGACAAAUAAUGAGUAAUCAAUAUGGUGAUAAAUAAAAGGUGUUUUAUUUAUACUCAAAGGUUUGAGGCCAUAUGGGAUUAGUAUUAUUCUUGUGUUUCACAUUUGCAUGUUUUGACUUCCAGAAUAAUUGAGUUUAUUAAGAAUAAUCGAAUUAUUCGAACGGGCCACAGUCGUUCAUAUGUUGGAAGUAGAUAUGAAUGAAGACUGUCGUGAAUUGGUGUGUGGAUUGUCUAAAAGAGUAUUAGACAUAAGCAAAUGUUUGCUGCAACGUUCAUGAGUGCUUAUGAAUAUGAUUUGAGCAUUGGAUUAAACCCACGCUCACUUGGAUCACUCCAUGAAUUGUAUCACGAGUGAUUGGUGAGACGAUAACAUCUUAUAUUCUUGAAACCGAGAUGUGUGAGUUGUAUCUUGCAAAUCGGUUGCACAUUGAUAAUAUGUAAACGCACCAGUAACUUGGUGUUAUAAAACAUAUUGUUGUGUGUGAUUCGGUGAGUGAGUGCAAGCAAGCAUUGUAUCAAAGUUUAUCCGUUCCUUUUAUCCAAAGUAGGAUAAAAGCGAUAUCUUUGGGCCCCUCGAUGGUUUAGUGAUGACAAACGUAAAUGCUCGGCCGGGCUAGGGCUAAUUUGAUUUGUUCAAUUAGUCAGUCGUCAUAAAUCGGAAAUCGAGAUAUAGUACAAAGAGAAUGAUUUGAAAUCAUAUCUCAUAUGAUAUCUAGAAUGGAGGAAUAUAUGAUCCCUUAUCUAAGGACACGCGUAUUUGAUAUGAUCAGAGUUGACAGCGGCUUUGGAAAGCUACGAUUGCAGAUCAGGAUCUGAAGUCAUACGCAGAAUAGUUAUUAGACUUAUCCAAGUGGGAGACUGUUGGAUUAGUGUCUAAGUCCAUAACUAUUUUGGUAUGUACUUGACCCGAUGGUGCAUGGUCCUUUUGGGUUGCCUUCACCAAAGCAACUUGAUUGGAGAAAUAAAUAGAAAGAGAGGAUAAUAUGAUUUAUUAAUAUGUUAUAAGGAUAAUAUAUUAAAGGAGAAAUCAUAUUUGUUUAAUUAAUAUUGGUCAAUAAUUAAUUGAGAAUUAAUUUUGUAAUCAAGUGUAAUUAAUUAAACUAGAGGGGCUGAAUUGUAAUUAUGUGAUAGUUACAAAAUAAGGUAAGAAUUAUCUUAUAAGUAUGGUGAACGAAUUUAAGGUUGGAAAGCCUUAGAAUUCGAGUAUGAUAAGGAUACAAGGAUUAUCUUAUUGGUUGCUUAAUGGAUAAUCAACUAGAUAAGGAUAAUGACUGAAACCCUAUCUCUACACCUAUAUAAACACCCCUAGGGUUAUGAAUUCGUGUAUCCCUUCCCAAGAAGUCCUAAACACGAAUUCUAACCUCCCUCCUCUCUCUAUAUAUCUUCUCCACUUGCUUAUGGUGUUUGUGAGCCAUUAGAGGAGUGACACUUGUGACUCUCUGCUUUCCAAGGUCAAUUCAAGGAGGAAUUGGAUUGUUAUUGCUAUAUAACAAUCAAGGUAUGUUCUUAAACCUAUUUACAUGUGAAUUCUGAUUUCCAUAUGCUAGAAUUAGGGUUCAAGUCUUGGAUUCAAAGUAUGUACAAUAGAGAAACCUAGAUCCGAGCUUUAGGGUUUGUAUGAGCACAUAGGAUGUCUUAUGACCAAAACCCAUCAGGUGUAAUUAUGAACUUCAUUGUAAACCUAACAUGUGAAUUAUAUGGAUUGGUUGAUAUAGGUUAUAAACUCUAAUUAGUAGAAUUGUUAGAAAUAUAAGAUUUAGAUAAUAGCUUGUGGGUUUAAGUUAUUUAGCAGUUUUAUUAUAGAGUUUAAUUAGUCUGGUGAUAAUUAGUCACGGAGUUUAGCUCGUAGUGAUAGGUUUUGACGAACUUCUUAAUUGUUGAAUAGGUGUUAUUAUGUGGCAAGUUGAAAGGCAACGAACAUCAGGAACCAAAAUUAGAGUUAGUCUACUACCUAACCCGGUGAGUAACUCUACUCUAACACUUAUUGUUGUUAGUGUGUGUUGUUACAUAAUAUGUGGAUUAGUUGUAUUGUAAUGAUUUUAUAUUGCAUUUCAGUGAGAGGUGAUAAUAUACAGUGAUGUGGUGUAUUUACUUUAGACGGAGUAUAUCUGUAGGUAUGUAUAUAUAUAUUUUAGUGGUGAAUUAUUGGCUAGCUACAAAGGUGUUAUAAGGCAAUAACCAAUUAAUUUAUAUACCAAUUCAUGUACUUUAAUUAGUAUAUUUGAUGUAGCGUACUUUACUUUGUUGACGAUAAGUUGAUUUAUAUAUGACGAUAAUUGUUGUUAUGUUAUUGUAGUAGCUAUUUACUAAGCUUUAUAGUUUAUGAUGUUUAUUGAUGUUGUGUUGCAGGUUAGAUUGAUUGUAACCCCUAUUUCGGAUCUUAUAUUUGAUGUCAGUAUGGUUCCUCCGGGUGAUAAUUUAUUGUAUUCUAGUAUGCUAGUGUAUACCAAAAUCUUUUAUAUGGUUGUAAAUAAAUAAUUUUUUAGGAUGUAUCUAGUGUAAAAUAUAUGGACGUUAAUACACCCUUCCAAGUUUUGAUUUUAUUAGGUUGCAAGUCUUGGGUUAUCAGGUACGUCAAUCUUCUUUUGGAAAGAGUUUUUCCUAAUUCGAGUGUACUUGGUGUCAUAAACGUAAUUGGACAAAAUAUUGGAUAGUGAUGUCACUAAGUAAAAGUAGCAUUAAUUAUUAUAAGGUAGAGUCAAGAUCAAAUAAGAAGUAAAAUUUUUGUAGAAAGAUAAGAAGUGUUUUUUUCUACAUAUUUUUUUAGCGAACAAACAAAAUGAAUCAUUAGAUGAUCCACAAGAAAAUUUUCUCAAAAAAACAUGUUCAUGAUUCAUUUAUAAGUAAAUUAAGAAAAAUUCACGUUUAUGACAAUUUUAGUGAAUAACAACAAAAUUGCUAUAUAAAUGAAUCAUCGAGAUGUUUUUUGAGAUUUUUUUUUUUGUGAAUCAUGUUAUUUUUGAUUCAUCUAGUGAUUCAUUUGUUUUAUUCAUCAAAAAAAUAUGUAGAAAAAAAAAUUAUACCUUCCUACCAAAAAAAUUCGUACCAUAUCUAUAUCUUUACAAGAUAAGCAAUGUAUUUUAAAAGCUAAAGCCAUCUAAAAACGUAUAAUAUAAAAUAUUGUUUCAAUCUUAAUUUAUAUGUGAAUUUCUUCCUCUUCCUUUUCUAUUUUAUUAUCAUACCUAAUUCAUAUACAUUCUUUUAGUUUUAUGCAACGGCUUACCAAAUAUUUGGCAUGUUUGUUAUUCCACCAUACAAACAAACGUAUUAAAACUCUAAAUUUUAUAACUGAAAAUGAAAUAAAACCACAACAAACAAAAUCUUUAUUUUGGAAAUAUAAUAAUAGCACGUUGGAAUAUUAAAAGUUCUUUUAAGUUUAGACAAGGACAUGACAUGACCUUUUUUAUACAUAUAUCAAUAAUAAUAAAAUUGAAUAUUUAGUAAACAAACAACUUAUCGUAACAAAACAAGCAUUUCAAACAAAAUAAUAUACAUGACUAUGAUGAUAUCUUCAAUCACUCAUACACAUAUACAUACGUAAAUAUAACAUGUAUAUAUACCAAAAAGGGUUAUGUCUAAAAUACCCCUCGAAAUCAUACCAUUCUAGCAAGGACUUUAAGGAUAUCCUCCACAGAUGGCCUAUGCAAAGGGUCAAAUUCCACACAAGCUUUAGCCAAGACCCCUAAACAUAAUGCCUCAGCCAAAGGGUAAUCCUCGUUCAAGCAAGGGUCCAUAAAACCUCUUAAAUGCUCAAAACAACCUCCUCCACUACCCUCUCCUCCCAAAAACCCGAUGGAAUCUCGUAACGAUUUCUUGUCAGUGUUCACUUUCCCUGAUAAAAUUUCAAGCAAAAUCAUCCCGAAUUCCAAAAUAUUUUCAUACUCUGAACCAGAUGACCCCACGUUGCAUGGAUUCGUGUUCCCUGACAAAACUGCCAAUUUCGCCCUCCAUGUUGAUGUCACAAAUAUACUUUCAUUACAAAGUCCUGUUUGCAUGUAAGGAUUAGCUAUGCAAUAAUGUAGGUAGUGCAACCCCAUUGCGACAUCAAACGCGAUUUGAGUUCUUCGAGUCCAAGUCAAACUCGAGGAAUUAAUCAAACAAUCCCUUAAACUCCCAUUUGAUGGAUGCUCCAAAACAAGAUAUGACCAUGAAGACUCAUUGUAACAUACACCAAGCAAUUUCAUGAUGUUGACAUGGUUAAUUUUCGAAUGGAGAUCAAUGACAUGGCGUAUUUCGGAGAAUUCAAUCUCUUUGAUUAGUACUUGAACAUCAUCGAAUGACCCUCUAUAAAUAUCUUCACUCACAAUACAAUCUUCACUAAAAUCUCUUGUCGCUCUUCUAAUUUCCUCGAUUUUGAAAUUAUACAAAGAAUAUUUUAUUCCCGCAAGCAAAUCAGGUGACAAACAUGAACUCGGUGAGCUUCUUGUGAUCGGGCUUUUUGGUGAGCUAAUUGGAGGUGUUGAAAACGAGUUAAAAGAGCUUCUAAGGGUUGAUGGUAUUAUAAAAAUAUCGCGUCUGCAUUUAUUUAACGCAUUUAUAUACAAACAUGUCACAAUUAGUAUGGCCACCACCAAACCCGACCCGAUGACCGAAACAACAAUGUACACUUUCUUUAGUUUCAUGGAUUUGACAUUUCCUUCUGUCGGAUUUGUCGGGUAAAAUCCGGGUGUCGGUGGUUGAAAACUAGGGACAUUAAAGUUAAUCAUAGGUUUUGAAUGCAAUGGUACCAAAAUUGUUGUUUCAGGAUAAACAGUCGUAUCACUAUUUAAAUUGUUAACUGCGAAAAUGUCAUCUUUAGAAAUACCAAAUUUUGUACUUAUCGGCUUUACAGAAUCUCUUGAAACCAAAGGAUACGCGACCAAAUAUUUAUAACCAUUAUUAGGACAAGCACAUUUUAAAGGCACAUUAAGAACAAAACCAACCUUAUAAACUUCUUGAUUUUGAUUUUCCUCAAGAAGCGUGACUGUUUUCACCAAACCUUCAAAGACCCCACAUGCAAUAUCUGAAAGUGUCGUGUUUUCCAUGAUUGUAUAAUUUAUUUUUGCUUGAAAAAAGUUAUCAGAGCAAGAACAUCUAAGAGGAACAAGUACUUCUCUAUCCAUAAGGAGAACUUCUGAACUAGAAUCUAUGUGGUUUAAUUCAAGCAAGGUGUUGGGUGGCAAUCCAAACAAGGUGGCUAUGGUGGAAAUGGUCGGAAACUGACGGUUUGACCGGAAAAUCAAGAAAGUUUGGCAUGACAUCUUGGUCAACGUCGUGUUGGUGCAAGUGUACCUUGUCCCUGGAGCAUUGCCAUCUUUGCGACAAGAUGUUGCGUCAUAGAAUGCUUGUUCGUGGCUUGAGAUGAUCGAGCUCAUGAGAAUUAGCAACAAGAUAUAAAUCAUAGUAUUGUUGCUAUUUAAUAUUUUAUUAUCUUUGCAUCGAAAAAACAAGUAACAAAAAACAUAAAAGUUUGAAAUUUAUAAGAAGUGAUAAAUGGUUAGAGGGAUGAUAGUCAAUGGAGUUAUGCUUUUUCAAAUGAAUAAUUUUAAUGUAAAUAUAAACUAGAAAUAAUUGAUUAGCUUUAUGGUAGCAUCAAUAGCCGGCUGGUGAACUAAAAUACAAAAACAUUUGCAAUUAUUCUUGGGAUACUAUGUGUUUGUAUUUUACUGAUGAGAAUUUUUUAAAUUUUAAUUACUUUCUUUAUUGGGUUAAAUGUAUACAUGUAGUAAUGCAUUUCAUAUUAAAGUUUAUUAUUACCAAAUAUAUUAUUGAUUUACUGUACUAGUUCUAUGUAAAAUAAGAACAAAAUCUAUUUUAUGCAUUUUUGCUAUAAAAGGAAGCUAAUACGACUAACUUGACUAUGAAAUUGUAAUACAACACAAUAGUUUUUUUCUAGUAUUUUUUUUAACAAGAGAGUUAGUAUAUGCCUAGAAUUAAACAUAUAGAUUCCUUCUCAGAAAACUUUUAGUUAGACAGUUAGUCAAAGCUAAACCCAACUUGUACAACACAAGCGCUAAAAAGUCGUUAUCAAUAAGAGAAAUUAGAAGUAUGUUGAAAUUGCAUUAUUAAAAGUAAUAAUGAUAUGUAAUAACAAAUUUUGUUUUAUGUAUAUAUUUAAUCAUUUAAGUUUUUUUAUAUGUUUACCAUUCAACUUAGAGGGUGUUUUGUGUUCAUUUAAAAACUUUUUACUUAACUUAUUUACUUUUGGAAAAGUCAAUAAACUUAAAAAAAAAUAUUUGGAUGUUCGUGUGUUCAUCUAAUACUAAAAGUUAUUAACUUAUGGACCUUCUUUUUUUUUUUUUUUGUCAUGUCAACCCAAUAUACACCCAAUAUACAGUUUAAAAGUUUGGUUAAUAUUCAUUGUUCUUUAAUAACCGGGAAAAAUACAAUAAAAUUAAAUCAAAAGACCAAUAUACCCAAAUUGCCCAUGUAGCUUCCAUUUAUGUUUACUUUAAAAUUUUAAUAUUGAGGUCACAAAAAGUUUGAAUUUUUUUAAAUACGUCUCAUUUUGCUUCCUAAACUCUUAAGUUGAAGAAAUUUGGAGUCAAAAUAACCUUAUUUUGAUUCAAAAAUACAUUUUCAUAAUUUGUCAACUUAAACAUAAAAAUAAAAGUACAUUGAUAUGAAAAUAUAUAUAUAUAUAUAUUGCUCAAAAUUGUCAUUUUGACCCUUUCAUUUCCCCUUUAAUUCAUGUCAACCCAAUGUAAAUUUAAAAGUUAGCCUAAUGUUUGUUGUUCUUUAAUAACAUGAAAAAUAGGAUUAAAUAAAAACAAUAUACCAAUAUACCUAAAUUGCCCCUGUAUUCUCCAUUUUCGUUUAUUUUAAAAUUUAAUAUUGAGAGUACGUUGCUAUUUCUUGACAGCACCGGUUAUAGCGGCCAUCUGUGAUAAAAUCAAAUGGUAUUUCAGAUAACCACCAACUCAAAUAGGAACAUAGAUUACAAAAAUGUAGAAGAAUGUGAGAUAGAAAACUUGAAGGCUUUGUCACACUACCUAGCCAAAGCAUACACAAACAUACGGUCACAUCAGAUGUACACCAAUUCACUAUUUUCUUCUAAAUGACCAUUAUACCCCUCCACCCUCCAAUUCAUAAAAAGUUAUUAUGAUUAAAAACUGAAAUAACAUUGUACUUAUGUUUCUUUGACAAUAUUUGCAACCGAUUAAAGUACAAUGCUAUAAUCUAAGGAAACCUCAUAAAAAUGCUUUAUGUUUCUUCUUGUCCCGAAGUUUAUAUUUCUUUGUCUUUCUUUUAGUCAUUAUGAUCCAUCAUUAAUUUAUAAGUAAUGAAUUUAUAUUUACAAAAGCAGUAAACGUGAUAGAAGUUGAUUAAAACCCAAAUAAGAUUAUAAUGAAAUUAUAAAAAAUAAUAAAUUAUCCAAUGCAUUUAUUGCUACUGCCCAUUAUUACCUCGCCAAUAUACAUGUAUAAACAUUAACAUCAUUCACUCACUAAUCUUGUAACUUUUAAUAAAAGUAAAAUCGUUACCCUUCACAAAAAUUUAUCUAGUUGCAAGAUUCGUUUAUUAUCGACCCUUGAUACACAAAACUUCUUCUUGGUGCAUCAUCAGCUUCUAACUGAACUGAAUCUCAUAUAUCACUAACCAUCAAUCUGUAAACGAAAACAUAAAUCCAAAAAAUCAAAAGUAAGCUUUCAUGAGAAUCAGAAUCUAAUCAAUUUCACUCAAAGCGAGUUGGGUGAAAGCCACAACGUGUGGGAGAACUUCAACAUGGAGACAAAAGCUUCAAGUGGAUUGGAAACACAAAACACAAUCAUACCUGAUGCCAGAAAGAGGAUUGGAGGUCUGAUGAUAAGCAUAUCUAAAAAUAUUAAGGAUUAGAGAAGAGAAAGCAAGUCUGAUGAUGAUAUUGAGCAAAAUAGUAGAUUCGAAACACGAAACAUAAUCACCCCUGAUGUCAGAUAGAGGAUUGGAGAAGAGAAAGGAGGUCUAAUGAUAAGCAUAUCUAAAAAUUAGGGUUGAAACCUGUAGGAUUACUUUCAGCAAAUCGACCAAAUAGGGAAAUUGACAAAAAAAAUUGGAAUGAAUUACCUUUAUAAUGCUAAUUUAUUCAGGAGCUUCGGUGAUCCCUCCUUGAUUUCUCCUUCCCUGAAGUUCAUUGUGACAGAAUCUACACCUUGUUACAAUGAAUAAUAUAACCAUUUGGGAAAAAAAUAACUUGAGUAGUGUGACAUCCCCAAUUUCUCGGCCAGAAAAGACCGGUUUGUUUAUGCUUUAUUUUAAAAUCAGAGUAAUCGUUUAAAGAAAACGGUUGCGGAAUUUGUUCCCAAACAAAAUAUGAUAAAAUUUAUCAAAACGUUCUUCAAAGAGAAUGUAUUUUCAUUAAAUAAUAAAACCUCGGGAUGUCAUGUUCCGAUACAGACCAAAAGCAUAAACAAUAUAAAAUAGACCUUACAACAGUUAUUUGUAACUACUGAUCUAUAAUCCAAAAUCUCUCAUCAAGUCCACCAAUUUAUACUCUUGUGCCAUUACCUGUAAUGCAAAGAAAACUGAGUGGGUCAGGCUUGGGAGCCUGGUGAGCAUGUAGGGUUUUCAACCCACAAUAAUACAUUUAUUAUAUUGAAUUAUCAAACAAUCAACCCAAAUACUCAUUCCCAUUAUCUCCUUUAUUUCUUAAGGAUUUACCCUAAGAAUCAACUAUCCUUUAACCAUUUAUUCCUAAGGAUUGACCUAAGGAAUUGACACAAAGUCCACCACUGCCAAGGUCCACAAAUUACGAUUGGUAAACACUUAGUUCAACAUACUUAACAAACACCUAGUUCUAACACUCCUAGUGAACCAUUAAUUCAAAACAUCUGGUGAAUACUUAGUUCUAAAACACUUAGUGAACACACUCAGUUCAACAACACCAAGUGAACACAUCUAGUUCAAAAAGACUUAAUGAACACAUUGAGUCCAAAAAUACCAAGUGAACACAUAGAGUUCGGAAAUAACUAAUGAACACAUUGAGUUCAAACACCAAGUGAACACGUAGAGUUCAAAAAUACCUAAUGAACACACUGAGUUCUAAAAUACUUAAUGAACACAUAUAGUUCAAAAUACCUAAUGAACACAUUGAGUUCAAGGACACCAAGUGAACACAUAUAGUUCAAAAUACCUAAUGAACACAUUGAGUUCAAAACACCUAUUAUUUCGUCUCACAUCAACUAUUUCAUCUACCCAUGUUCUACCCAACAUAUUUGUAGAUGCAAACACAUAUAAAGUUUAAAUCUUUUAAAACAUGUAUAACACAUUAUUUCAACAUUUAUCUCAAGUAAACAAACAAUGUAUAAACACCUAGCACAUACUUCAUAGCAAAUACUUCAUAUCUAUGCGGUAGAAGAAAGUGAAUAUACAUUCACACAUAUAACAACAAAAUAUACACAUAACACGUAUUUCGUAUAAAAUACUUCGUAUUUAUGCGUUAGAAGAAAGUAACCACACACUCACUUGAUCAGAAGAUGAUCGGACAGCACUACAACUUGCAGAAGUAGUAAUCCACAGCAGAUCUGGAAGAUCUCCACAAAAAUCGAACUUCUCGCGGGCAGAGCUUCGGCUCGAGAACCGCACUUCUCGGGAUCUUCGGGAUCUCGGGACUUGCCUCGGGGCUAGAGAAUAAUACCGGGGCUUCGGGGUAUUUCUGGCACGCAAAACGAUGCAAAACGGGAGAGAGAAGAGAAGAAAUUGGCAACCCUAAACGGCUGGCCCUUCAAAUCUAUUUAUAGGGCAAAUUUGGCCCUUGCCACGUCGUGGCAACCUUGUUCCACGUCGUGGGCUCUGACAGUUUUGGGGUUUCGCGCCCCGAACUUCAGAAAUUCAUAACUUUCACAUACGAACUCCGUUUUCGAUGUUCUUUAUAUCGACGCGAAGGUGAGAUUAUGAUCUACAACUCUCGUUUAGACUCCAUUGGCUAAUUUUGACUUUAUUUUUAAUAUAUUAUAAGUAUAUUAGUUAUAUAUUAUCUUUAGUAGGUCAGGACAGGAAAACUCCGCUCGAAAUUCAUAACUCCUUCAUCUGAACUCCGUUUUCGUCUGUCUUUUUAUCGAUGGACUACUAUCGAAUAAAUCUUCAACUCUUGUUUAGAUCACUAAGGAUAAAUAUCUAUCUACAUUAAGUUCACUAUUUACAUCGCGCUGGGUCGCGCUGGGUCGUGCCGGUUCUGUCGCAAAACUUCGACAGGUCAUAACUUCUUCGUUAUAACUCGGAUUUUGGCGUUCUUUAUAUGCACGGAAACCUUGUGACAUAUACUACAACUUGGUUAAGAUUAAUCCUUCUAAAUAAUAUUCCAUCAAAAAGUCAUUUUUGAUGCUUAUCGUCUCUAAAUUGACUAGCCCUGAUCUACGGGCGUUACAAGUAGAGGUAAAUGAAUUAAACCCGGUGUGGAUCUUCCGACUGUUCUUUGAUCCUGAGAAUUUUGGUAUGCUUAUAUACGAAUAACCCUUCGUAUGGAUCUACUUCUUCGUCAUAUUGAGGAAUCAGACUGUGUAGGUAAAGCACAAAACGACGACUGAAUAAUUGAAAAACCCCCAAACAUCCAGUCCUGAAAUCGAAAAAAUUGACCAAAAUUCAUCCAAACCCAUUCUAUGUUCUCUAAAACCACGCACACAUACACACAUCUACAAUACCCCCUGAAGCUUCCGAUCGUUAAAAAAAUCAAACAGAGAUAAAGAGAGGAGCAUCACCGGUUAUUGUGAUUUAAUUGUUGAUUUGGAGAUGAUACUGUUUCCUGAUUUGUUGCUAUGUAAUUGUUGAUUCUUUGGAAUGUUAGGUUUUUAGAAUUAAUGAUUUCUUGAUAUAAAUCACGUAGUUGAUUCCCAAAAAAAUUGAAUUUCAAAAGAGAAUAAGAGGAAUUAACAAUACAUGCAAUUAUAUAGUGGCACAAGGGUAGAAUUGGAAUUUCAGAUUGAUAAUAUGGGUGGGAAAAAAAGCUGGAGGAGAGCUAAGAAAAUGCCACGUGGCGAAAAUGUAUUGUUUUAUUAGAAUAGAGGAUGUCUUUAGAUGUGCUUAGUAAUCACAUUUCGGUCUCCUCGUUAGUCAAUGCUUGCCUACAUGUUCUCUUCCUCUGCUAUGGAUUUUACUCUUUUGGACACGAUGUGCUCCUCCCAUCGAUUCAUCACCUCAUCUUCCAAUCAAACGCACUCACCUCCUCUAAACUGACCUCUAGACUCCACAAAGCAAGAUUGAUCCAGCCGCCACAAAUGCUAAUUACUUUCAACCAUCGUCUCUUUCCCCCUUCAAUCUCCUUCUUCUGUGUGUUCUUCCCAAUCUCACUCACUGACGAUUGCGACAAAUGUGACAUCCCCAAAAUCACAGCUAGAAAAGACCGGUUUCAUUUAUGCUUUUAAAAUAAUUUCAGAGUAAAUCCAUUGAUUUUAAAGAGUUAUGGAAUUUGUCCCCAAAACAAUACAUGAUAAAAUAAGGUUUAUCAAAGCAUUUCUUAAAGAAAUGUAUUUUCAUUAUAUAUCAAAAAUCGGUAUGUCAUGUUCCGAUACAGACACAAAAGCACAAACAAUAAAACAUAGACCUUACACAGUUAUAUACAACUACUGGUCUAUAAAAAAAACAUCUUCAUAAUUUCUCCAGCUUAUGCUCUUGUGCCACUACCUGUAAUACAAAGAAACUGAGUGGGUCAGGCUUGGGAGCAUGGUGAGCAUAUAGGGUUUUCAACCCACAAUAAAUAGUUAUAUUUAAUUUCACCAACCAACAAUAACCCGAUUUCCCAUUCCUGUUAUCCUCACUUUACGUCCCUAUGACAACAACUAUUACAAGGGACCUAAUCUAGGAUUUUCAUCGAGACGGACACUACUGCAAAGGGGUUUCCUCAGCAAUGAAUGUCCCAAGGCAACCAUGCGGGAGAUAGAAUACAACAAAUGAACACCCAAGUUCACUACACCUACAGGUUAUGAGUCUGCCAACGUUCCACUGAACUGUCUAGAAAAGUCUGUGGCCAUCAUCCAUAUUUUGUUGGAUGACUAGAUCACAAUCACAUCAAGGCCUCUCAUCAUUUUUAUUUCAUCACACAUCGCUAUCUACCCAUGUUCUACCCAACAUAUUUGUAGAUAAAAUGUACUUGUUUAUAUACAGCUUAAAACCUGUAUAACAUAUUCAUUCAAUACUCAUAGUACCACAUAACAAAUAGUAUAUAGUCACAUAGCACGUAUUUCAUAGAGUAUAAUUCAUAUAUGUGUAUUAUCAGAAAGCAACUACAUACUUACUCAUAUCAUAUAUCUAAUACAGUCAUCAAUACUUGUAUUAAAAUCGUGUAUGUGAAAGGGACUAUGCACUUACUUGAUAAGAUGAUUAUCGGACAGAACUACGGCUCUAAAAGCAGUAACUCUUCGAUAAAUCUGUGAUAUCUUCACACACCGGGCUUCUCGCGAGCAGAGCUUCGGCUCGGAAACUCUUUUCUUCUCGGGAUCUUCGGAGCUUUGAAACUUGCUUCGGGUUUCGAGAUGAUACCAGGGCUUCGGGGGUAUAACUUGCACGUAAAUCGAGGUAAUAUGGAGUGAGAGAGAAGAGAUUUGGCAACCCUAAACGGAUGACCUUGCUUUCUAUUUGUAACAGCGUAAAUUUCAAAACAAAUUUUUCAUUUUUUAUCAACCAAGUUCAUAUAAAAACAUUCUCAAAUAUUUCCAACAGUAGUUUUUGAAACAUAACAUAUCCCAAGAUCAUAAAAAUCAAACUCUCUCUAGUGUGUACGAGUCACGUCGGUGCCUUCCCACGGUCCUCGCUAGUACCUGAAACACAUAACACAACAACUAUAAGCAUAAAUGCUUAGUGAGUUCCCCAAAAUACCACAUACAACACAUACACCACUCGAGGCUAUAAUACGACCAUCCGGUCGACGUGUCUCAACGGGACCCUCCAGUCCCGUAGCUCGUUGGACCCUCUAGUCCGGUCAUAGCUCGUUGGACCCUCCGGUCCGGUCUAUAAUAUCAUACAACAUACAUAUAUCACAUAGCACAUAAUCUCAUACGUAACACAUAAGACCCUCUGGUCAACACAUAAUACCACUCUAGGUAAUGUAUAGUGAGAAGACUUACCUCAGGUGUCCCAAUAAGUCUCUGACUCGGUAGAAAUGUGAUCUAGCCUCCGCUUAAUCACGUAAAAUAAAUACUCUCAUAAAUAUAACUAUACUCAAACCUUUCUUAACACCCUCAGAAGGGUAAAAAACCAUUUUACCCCUCUCUUGGCUCAAAGGCCUCACUGUUGACCAAACCCUAAAAGUCAACCACAAGUCAACAGUCAAACUUUGACCCGACUCGUUGAGUGCACUUGGGCGACUCGGUGAGUCUACACGUGUCUACUGACUCUCUUAGUCCCUUUUGGCACGUCGAGUCCUUCUCCUUACUCGACGAGUCACUCCUGGCAACUGGCAUGAAUCGCGGAGCCACCCCGACUCAACUCGCCGAGUCUCAAGAACAACUCGGCGAGUUCCACUUUGAACUCCAGUCCCCUAGCUCUCCCUGACUCACCAAGUUAUUUCCCCAACUCGGCAAGUCUACUCACUGAGUGAUUUACGGGAAACCCUCAUCCUACUCGCCGAGUCUGAUCUUCGGACUCGGCGAGUUCAUGCCAUGCACAAACUCCAUAGACCUCCUGAGGUCAGAUCUGUUUUAAUCCAUAGAUCUGACCUUCCCAAGCAUGAUAAUCACGUAAAAGUUCAGACCUUGACACUCAAAUAGCAUCAAGAUGGUCUUACUUGGUGAUUUAGUCUCAAAAUAACAUCCUAAAUUCAUGACUCCCAAAAUAACUCCAAAAAUCCCCAAGGGUUAAGGUCUCUGGACUCCUUUGAGUCCAGAUCCAAAGCAUGAACUCGAGAAGGGACCAAUUGCUCCAUAAUCUAUCCUCUAAAGGGGGUUAGAAAACCCUAACUCUAGGAAAUCAACACCACAACUGAAGAAGGUCUGAAAAAUACCUCAAGAUGAAGUCUAUGAGCUCUAAAAUCACCAGAAUCACACCUCCUUCAGCCUCCUCUUGGCUUGGUUUCCUCCUUCUUGCAAUUUCACCAACAAAAUGAUCACAAAUGGCCUCUCCUUCCUCACAAAUGCUCUAGAUCUCUUAGGGUUUCUCUCUGGGGUUUGGUAGCCGCAAAUGACGGCCCUAAGGUCCUUUAAAUAGGUCCCAAACACAGGAAAUUAGGGUUUCAUUAAACAGCGUGGACUCGCCGAGUCUGGCUGUGAACCCGGAUACGAAUCCGCGACCAUACUCGGCGAGUUUAAACACCAACUCGCCGAGUCCCCUCACAACUUCCAAAAAUAAUAAAUAAAAUAUUAUACCUGGGAAUCCGGAUGUUACACUAUUUAUAGGAGGCUGAAAAACCAUGCUCACGUCGUGAGCUCGAAUAUGUCAUUGCGUUCGCCAUGGCCAUUAUCCCUAGAAGACGUCCAUCACCUGCUCACGUCGUGAACACUGUGCUCACGUCGUGAGCUUUGACACAAGUGGAAGUUCGUGCCCCAAACUGCAGAAAUUCAUAUCUUUCGCAUACGAGUUUGGUUUUCGAUGUUCUUUAUAUUUACGCGUAGGUGAAAUUAUGCUCUACAACUCUCAUUUAGACUCCGUCGACUAAUUUUGACUUUAACUUUUAUUAUAUUAUUUUUAGUAGGCCGGGACAGAAAAACUCCGUUAGAAAUUCAUAACUCCUUCAUCUGACGUCCGUUUUCGUCUGUCUUUUUACCUUUGCAUUACUAUCAACGAGAUCUUCGAUUCUCGUUUAGAUUGUUUCAGCUAUUCGAACUUUGGGUUGCAUACUGCUAAGUCGAAACUUCAAAAAAUCAUAACUUCCUCAUACGACGUAAGAUUUAGACGUUCUUCUUAUGCACGCUCUCAGUUUAACGUAUUCUACGACUUUCAUUUAGAUCACUAAGGCUAAAUAUUGCUCUAUCGUAAACUCGCUAUUUACAUCAUGUAGUGUCGUACCGCUUCUGUCGCAAAACUUUGACAGGUCAUAACUUCUUCGUUAUAACUCGGAUUUCGGCAUUCUUUAUAUAUCUGGAACCCUUGCCACGACCACUACAACUUCCUUCAUAGAUAUUGGGCUUAUCUAAUAUUUCAUUAUUACGCUUAUUUUUAUUCUUAAUUCAUUUAAGCCACACAAUUAAGCAUAAAACACAUAAUACUCAAAUAAUACAUUUCUAUUAUUUCAAAAUGAGUUACAAAGGUUAACCUACACUAUUACAUCAAUAUUAAUGCCUAGCCUAUAAACACAGGCGUUACAACAAAACACCACAAAUGGUUCGAUUCCUUAUACCCCUUUUCUUAAUUUCACACCCCGACUCUUCUUUUGUAAUGGUAUGUAGUCAAUCGGGUGAGAAACAAUAAUUCCCUAUCCUUCUACCAUUUUUUGUUUCACUGUCAUCGACCAUAGUGUUUUCGAAUCCACUAUCCAACUAUCUCUCUAGGAAAACAACAUAGAUGAAGCUUGGAAGUGUUUUAAAUCUCUUUCAUCGCCAUCUUCAUUACUACCAAGUAGGCCUCUCAUUAACUCAUUGAUUACUCAUUUGUGUUCGGUCAGGAACGACACUUACAAUCUCAAAAGGGCAUUUGUUACUUUGAUGUUUAUGUUAGAGACAAAACCAUAUGUAUUAGAGCAUAAAUCGGUCGAGUCAUUCUUAAUUUCAAUCAAGGGUACAAAUGGUGGAUUGUCGGACCACUCACCACCACCAUCGAAUCAAGAGAGCUGAUGUUCAGCUUUGACGGUAAUUUCUCUCCUAUUUUCUAUCGCAUCAAAUUCCUUGCAAAACUCAAAAUUAAUAAGGUUCUUGCUUUCAAGGUUUGUUAAUAGCCCUAAUUUCCAUCAUCAAUUAUUUUUCUCGUGAUUCUUUAUGUGUGACAAAAGAAAUCAAUUCUUUGAAGGUUUGGCAUUAACGUUAUUUUCAAGGUAUCAGUUCUUUUAUUUUUUAAAUACUUCGUAUAAAAAAAAGUUUGUUGAUUUCUAGAUGAAUUUUAUGUUGUAAAAAGGGAACUUUACUAGUGGAAUAAUGAACAUACCACAAACGGAUAAAUGAGUAAUAUCAAAAGUUGGACUUCCUGCUGUAUAGUUUACAAUGCUUAUAUUUGAGACAAAUUGAACAAGAUUUUUCUAUUUCAUGAAGGUUCCAUCGGAAUUCGCAAAAUCCAUUUACAAGUAGAUUUCAAAAUCAAUCAAAAAAUAUGUACGUCUGCUUUCUCUCUUCCACUCAUGAGCGCUCACAAAUUCUAGUUUAUUUCCACAACCAGAUGUGUGAUAAAAUUCUAUUUCUUUAAAUAAUGUACCAACUUCAUUUUGUUCAUUUAUUUUUUAUUUUUUCAAAUCAUGUAAUUUUUGAGUAUACAUGAUCUAAUAUGUGUUGUUUCUAUAGGAAAAGUAUCACACAUUAAGUGGAUGUUUUCGGAACUAUUUUAGUAUGGAUUAGCAUUUUAAAUUUCUCUAUUUUCACCCCCAUUAGCUCUUUCUUUUAAAAAAUUCUAAUGAACUUUUAUAUACAUUAGAUGUUUGGUCCAUGAGUGUGGCAUGUUUGUAUUUAUUUAUCACUACAUUACAACUUUGCAUUUAUGUUGGAGACACUAGGCUACUACUACGAGUUAUACCAUCCAUGUAAACUUGGUCUCUGAACAUGAAUCUCCAUAUGAUAUGUUACUCUAACAUCCUUUCUUGCAAAUUCGUUAUACUUUUUGGGAGGCCGAAGGUAAUCAUGCUCGGAGUUUUGGGUUUUCUAUCUAAUGGAUUUGCCACCACAAGCUUUGGAUUGAAGGUGAUGGAAGAAUGAGGAGUAGACGUGAACGGAUUCUGGAAGACAUUAGACGGGCUACAAGGUGUGUGUUUUAAACCACUUUUCUUCUCCACCUUCUUUUUUUGUUCUUUUAGCUAAAUGAUUAAUUAUGUAGCAAAUGGGUUAUAGAUCUCAUAAACCUUUAUUGUGUUUAGUAGUUAUUUUUGUUUUUCAAUUAUUCUUGAUGCUUUAAUCUUCAAUUUUAUACAGGAUGCCGAGGAUAAUGAUGUAUACUUCAAUAUUUACUAGGGAAAGGUUUUACUUAUUAUUAAUGUUGCCUCCAAAUGUCUACAAUUGUUUUAUGCUUUUAUGAGUUUUGGGUAAUAAUUUCAGUUUAUUUAUGUUUUUAUCAACUUUAUAUACCAAAAAAUGACAAAGAAUUGGACGGUUUAUACCGAUGGAAAAACGACAUUACUUCACUUUGUACUCCAAGAAAUCAUAAGAUCCGAAGGCAACGAACCGAAGGGCAUGUUAAGAAACUGAUGUGUUUUACAUGUAAUAAUACAGAAAAAUCCUUAUACUCGUAAAGGUACAUGUAACCUAAUAGAUUUGUGUCAUAACACUAUUGAAUAAACAUAUUGUUGAACAACAAAACUUAUAAACCCCAGAUGAAAUCGAAAUUCACAUUAAAUGGAGGGUUACAUACCUUUUGUAGAUCCCAAUGAAGCUGAUCAAAAUCUUCAUGUCUCUUGGAAAACCUAGCUCCAAUAGUAUGCGAGCCACUAAUGGUUCACACUCAAAACGCAAGAAACCCUCGGAUUGAAGGAGAGGGAAGAGAUGAGGAGAAUUUCGCUCUCCCCCUUAAGGUAUGAGAGAGCCACAGAUUUUGGAUGCCUAAGGGAUCUAUGUAUAAUCCAAGGUAACUUACACCCCGUUCCCAAGUUCAACUUAACGAGAGAAAGGAAAGGAAAUGAGUAGAAAUGAGAAGAAAAUAAAAGAAAUUGCUGUUCCCGGGUUUCAUUAAAGGAGGGAAAUGGAAAGAAGUGGAGGGAAAUGGGAGGAUCACUUUCCCUCCUAACUUUCCUUCCAAUUUGGGAGGAUUUGGAAAGAAAGAACAAAGUGAUUCAUUUUCCUUCCACUUCUCUCCAACUCGGGAACACAAAAGAAAAUUUUGUUUUCCAUUCCUUUCUCUUCUUUUCUCUCAUGAAUUUCCUUUCUCUUCUCUUCUUUUCUUUUGUUAAACUCAGGAACGAGGCGUUAGAGACAAAGAGAGAUCUAAAUGAUUAAAUAAUAUAUUAAUCCCAAUCUAAAUCAUUUCCUUAUUUACCAUUAGGAGGCUUUUGAAACCCUAAGAAUGGAUCCAAAACCAUCAUGAUAUGGACCAUUAUAGAAUUGUCUCUUUUGUUCAACUAUUGAACAAUUACCAUUCAUCCCUUGCACCUUUAAUUAAUUCUAAUUAAUCCCGAAUUAAUUUCAGAUUAAUUCUGAUUAAUAAUUAAUCAAUUAUUACCUUUUUCUAAUUAAUUUAUUAUUCAUAUAAUAAAUUAACAAAUCAUCAACUAACAAUUUCUAAUUAAUAUGUAAACACAGAAUUAUUAACAAAUCAUUUUAUCUCUCUCUCUUUUGAUCAAUCCAAGCCAUUUCUUGGUAAUGAGGGCAACCCAAAAGGACUUUACUUUUAUUCAUCAAAAUUAUACCAAUUUAGUUAGGAUCAUAGACACUUAAUCCAACGGUCUCCCAAUUGGAUAAGUUGCUAACUAUAAUUACAAGUACAACUCCGAAUAACCAGUAAAGAGUGUUUUCCAAAGACACUUCCAAACUCUGAUUAGACAUUGGUCCUAAGAUAAGUGAUCAUCUAUUCCUUCGUUCUACAAGAUAUUGUAUAGACACGAGACAUGGAUUAUGUGACAUCCCCAAAUUCACGGCCAGAAAAGACCGGUUUAAUUUAUGCUUUUAAAAUAAUUUCAGAGUAAUCCUUUGAUUAAAAGAGUUGCGGAAUUUGUUCCCAAAACGAAAUAUGAUAAAAAUAAGAUUUACCAAAGCAUUUCUUAAAGAAAUGUAUUUUCAUUAUAUAACAAAACUCGGGAUGUCAUAUUCCGAUACAGACCAAAAGCAUAAACGGCACAUUAUAAGCCUUACAACAGUUAUUUACAACUACUGGCCUAUAAUCCAAAAUAUCAUGAUAAGUCAUCCAACUUAUGCUCUGGUGCCACUACCUGUAAUACAAUGAAAAUCUGAGUGGUUCAGGCUUGGGAGCUUGGUGAGCAUAUAGGGAUUUCAACCCACAAUAAAAAAUUAUAUAAAUUUCAUCAACCAACAAUAACCCAAUUACCCAUUCCCGUUAUCCUCACUUUACGUCCCUAAAACAACUAUCACAAGGGACCUAGCCUAAGGAUUUUCAUCGGGGCGACAAGACAUGCUUCGAGGGUUCCUCAGCAAUAUAUGUCAAACAAGGCAACCAUGUGGAGGAUGGAGUACAGUAAAUGAACACUCAAGUUCAUUAACACCUAUAGGUGGCGAGCCUGCCAGCGUUCCACUAGACUGUCUAGAAAAGUUUGUGGUCGUCAUUUAAACUCCACUAGAUGACUGAAUCAGCAACAACAUCGAGGCCUCUCAUUGUUUUAUCACAAGCCAACUAUCUACCCAUGUUUUACCCAACAUUUUAGUAGAUAACAAUAUACUUAUACAUUCAUAUACAGCUUAAAACCUGUACAAAAUAUUCAUUCAAUACUCACUCCAAAUACACAGAUAAUAUAUAUACACAUAGCACGUAUUCUAUAGAGGAUACUUUAUACCUAUGUGUUAGAAGAAAGGGAUUAUACACUCUCUCAAACAUAUACUUAAUACAUUCAAACAAUACUUGUAUUAAAAUCGUGUUUAUGAAAGAGACUAUGCUAUCACAUGAUAAGAUGAUUGUCGGACAGCACUACGAAUCUUCAAGUAGUAAUUCUUCGAUGAAUCUGGGAUAUCUUCACACACCGGGCUUCUCGCGAGCAGAGCUUCGGGUCGAAAACUAUUUUCUUCUCGGGAUCUUAGGAGCAUCGGGACUUGCCUCGUGUGUCGGGAUGAUACCGGGGCUUCAGGGGUGCUUCAAGAGGGCUAGAGAGAGUAUUGGGAGUGAGAGAGUAAGAAAGUAGCAACCAAAAUCGGUUGUCCUUCGAUUUCUAUUUAUAGGGCUGAUUUUCUGGAUUCACGUCGUGAAUCUCAAAACUUCACGUCAUGAAUCUCAAAAAUUCACGUCGUGAGUUUGAUCUGGCAUAGGUCAUUGCGUUCGUCAUUAGUCCACUUGCUCUGGAAUAUGUCUAGCACCUGUUCACGUCGUGAACUCUGACACAGUGUUGGGGUUCGUGCCCCAAACUUUAGAAAUUCAUAUCUCUCGCAUACGAGUUCCGUUUUCGACGUUCUUUAUAUCCAUGCGUAGGUGAGAUUAUGCUCUACAAUUCUCAUUUAGACUCCAUUGGCUAAUUUUGAUUUUAACUUUUAUUAUAUUAUUUUUAGUAGGUCGGGACAGGAAAACUCAGUUAGAAAUUCAUAACUUCUUCAUCUGAUGUCCAUUUUCGUCUGUCUUUUUACCGUUGGACUACUAUCGACGAGAUCUUUGAUUCUUGUUUAGAUUGUUUUUGCUAGAAAUCACUUGAUCUCAUAUUCGAACUUUGGGUUGCAUAUUACUAAGUCGAAACUUAGAAAAAUCAUAACUUCCUCAUACGAAGUCAGAUUUAGACGUUCUUUUUAUGUACGUUCUCAGUUUAACGUAUUCUAUGAUUUUUGUUUAGAUCCCUAAGACUUAAUAUCAUUCUAUUGUAAACUCACUAUUUACAUCACGUAAUGUCGUAUCGGUUCUGUCGUGAAACUUCGACAAGUCAUAACUUCUUCGUUAUAACUCGGAUUUCGGCAUUCGUUAUAUAUAUCUGGAACCCUUGUCACAACCACUACAACUUCCUUCACAGAUAUUGGGUUUAUCUAAUAUUUUACUUUAAUGCUUAUUUUAUUCUUAAUUCAUUUAAGCCACACAAUUAUGCAUAAAACAAAAAAAUACUCAAAUAAUACAUUUCUAUUAUUUCAAAAUGAGUUACAAAGGUUAACCUAGACUAUUACAUCAAUAUUAAUGCUUAGCCUAGAAACACGGGCGUUACAAUUCUCUCCCUUGUAGGAUGAUUCCGUCCCCGAAAUCACACGUCAACAAACAAAUGCGGGUAGUGACUCAUUCAGCUCUCUGUAAUCAAUGCACAUUCUCAUACUCCCGUCCUUUUUCUUCACGAAUAACACCGGAGCUCCCCAGGGUGAUGAACUAGGUCUAAUGAAACCUUUGUCCAAUAACUCCUGAAGUUGCAUCAUCAGUUCCUUCAUAUCCGUUGGUGCUAGUCGAUACGGUGCUUUUGCUAUUGGCGUGCUUCCUGGUAAUAAGUAUAUUCUGAACUCCACUUGUCUAUCAGACGGUAAUCCAGGAAGAUCUUUGGGAAAUACUUCCAGAUAAUCACACACCACAAGAAUGCUCUUCAUCUCUUUUUUCUCCUUCUUUGCAUCAAUUACGAAUGCCAAAUAUGAUGUACAUCCUUGGACCAAACAUUUUCUAGCUUUCAUUAGAGAAAUGAUUCCAGAAUUUACCCUGCGUUUGUCCCCAUACACCAUAAAUGACUCUUUCCCUGGUGGGUUUACUUUUACUAUCUUCUUCUUGCAUGAUAUCUUGGCAUCCUUGGCGCUAAGCCAAUCCAUUCCCAGCACGAUGUCAAAACCGUUUAGCUCGAUAGGCAAUAAUUCCUUGUGGAACUUAUUCCCAUUCAAAUCAAUGAAGAUGUUUUUCAUAAGAUGGCUGAUAGGUAUAAACUUGCCACUAGCAACCUCGACUAUUAAAGCAUUAUCUAGUAUAUCAACAGGCAAAGCUAGUUUCCUACCAAAUUCAUGCGAAAUAAAAGGAGUAGUUGGCUCCAGAAUCAAAUAAAGUUUGGGCAGACAAUUCGUUUACUAGAAAGGUACCUAAAGCGACAUCAGCUUCAUCUUUCAUAGCUUCAAGUGUCAUCUGAAAGGCUCUCGCCUUCGGUUUUGGUGGAAUAUUGGGUUUUGCUGCCUCCUUCUUUUUAGGACAGUCUUUCAAAAUGUGCCCCUCUUCGUUACAUCCAAAGCACAUCCUCUUGUUGGACGGACACUCAUUGGCAUAAUGCCCAUUUUUUCCACAUUUGUAGCAGGUCGCCUCCUCACUACACUUCCCAGAGUGCUUUUUCUUGCACUUUUCACACCAUUUCACUUCGCCUCCAAACUUCUUCGAAUUAGACUUCGAAAUUUUGUUUUUCUUGCUACAACCCGAAGUUCCUUUAAACUUUCUCUUAUCACCAACUUUAACCUUGUUGGCAGUUCUUCCCUUGAUCAUGUCCUCAACAGACUUGGCAACCCAAAUAGUUGCCUCCAGAGUAGGUGUCUGACGUACUAGCACCGCGUACUCCCAUGGGAGUCCCUUUGCGUACCGGUCGACCUUUGUCAGCUCGUCUAGGACGAUGUGCAAGGCAAACUCCAUUAUUUCGGUGAAGAAAUUUGUGUAUUCAUCAACUGACAUGUUGUCUUUUGUCAAUGUCAGAAACUUGUUCUCCAACUCCAAUAGAUUUUGGGCCGAGAAGAACUUGCGCUUGAAUUGCACCAAGAACUCUACCCAAGUCAGUUGCACUGGCUCAUCAGGGCUUAGGGUCUUCCCCAGAGUGUUCAACCGAUGAACAGCACCACCCAUGAACUGACGUUCUGCGAAUGUGGUCUGCAACUUGCCUCUGCAACCACACGUCAUGAAGGCUAGCUCCAUUUCUGAGAUCCAAUCCAUAACUCCGAUCGGAUCCUCCUUUCCAGUGAAGGUCGAUGGUUUGGAAGUCAAAAAGUCUUUGUACUUGCGUCCAAGUCCAUCAAUUCCUCCCUCUUGGUUGUUUUGUCUAACCAACGGUGGGUUGGCUUGACCAUCAAUCCCACUGAUGUUACCUUCUUCUGAAUGCCCUUCAUUCAACUCAGGCUGUUCAAUCGACAUUGAAAGUUCUUCACGAUUCUGCUGAAACAGGCGUCUCGUUUCUUCCAUCUGAUGAUCCAACAUCGUUUGAAUCAUCAAUUUUACCCCAGCCAUUGUCAUUGGCUCAGGUGUUGCUGCUGCAAUAACCACUUGUUCAAUCACAGGUGGUUGAUUAUUGUUUUCAUUCACGUUUCCAACUCCACUUCUGGUUCUUACCAUUUUUUGAUCUACACACUGAAUAAAGUGAAUUUAGAUCCUCAAUCACGAUAGAUAAUUAAAUCAUCCUUAUCACUCUGAAAUGUUUACAUGCUAGUUCUAAUACCGUAAUCAUGAGCUUAGAAUCCUAAACACAUAAGGUUUCCAGAUCCGGUUGGCAACAAAUCGUAGAUCCGAACAAAUAAUAUCAUAUAUGGAAAACAUAUAACAUUUAGCACAUAAAACCAUUUUAGGCAACUUUCCUAAAAUAAACUAGUGCGCGUGUAUUAAAUAUAACAGACACUCAUCUCACAAUCUUCACUUAGCAUUCUAAGUUUAAGUCUAGAAAUCCUACAAAUUCCUAGUUCGCUUAAACUAAUGCUCUGAUACCAACUGUGACAUCCCCAAAAUCACGACCAGAAAAGACCGGUUUAAUUUAUGCUUUUAAAAUAGUUUUAGAGUAAUCAUUUGAUUAAAAGAGUUGCAUAAUUUGUUCCCAAAAUGAGAUAUGAUAAAAUAAUAUUUACCAAAGCAUUUCUUAAAGAAAUGUAUUUUCAUUAUAUAACAAAACUCGAGAUGUCAUGUUCCGAUACAUACAAAAGCAUAAACGGCACAUUAUAAGCCUUACAACAGUUAUAUACACUACAGGCCUAUAAUCAAAAUAUCUUAAUAAGUCGUCCAACUUAUGCUCUCGCGCCACUACCUGUAAUACAAAGAAAACUUUAAUACAUCGAUCCUUCGACAUGUGAGUUGUUGAAUUGAUGAUCUGUCUGUUCCGAUUAAGAGUUAUAGUUCUAUGCCAUGAGCCGAGUGGCUUAAGGAUUUGGAGUUGUAUCAAGGGAAGCACUUGGUAUUAUUGAGCUCAUUGAGAAUUCGGGAAGUGUUCAUUUGGUUUUGGAAUAUGCGUGAAUGGAUAUUCACUUUAUUCUAUCUCAUAGAUCUGAUUUGUUUUCUAUGAAAUACGUGUUAUGUGGUAUGCCUCAUCUGUUAUGUGGAAUAUAUAUUGAAUGAAAAUGAUAUACAGGUUUUAAACUAUGUAUGAAAAUAUAUAUUCUUAUCUACUAAUAUGUUGGGUAGAACAUGGGUAGAUAGUUGGUGUGUAAUAAACAGAUGAGAGGCCUCGAUGUUGUUGUUGUUGUUGAUCUAGUUAUUCAGCGGAGUAUGGAUAACGACCACGGACUCUUUCUAGACAGUCCAGUGGAACGCUAGCAGGUUCAUAACCUGUAGGUGUUGUGAACGAUGUGUUCACCGGUGUACUCUAUCCCCCUCAUGGUUGCCUUUAGGAUAUCUAUUGUUGAGGAAACCCCUUCGCAGUGAUGUCCGUCCCGAUGAAAAUCCUAGAUUAGGUCCCUUGAGAUAGUUGUUUUAGGGACGUAAAGUGAGGAUAACGGGAAUGGGUAAUCGGGAUAGUGAUUGGUUGGUGAAAUUAAAUAUAACUUAUUUAUUGUGGGUUGAAAACCCUAUAUGCUCACCAGGCUCCCAAGCCUGACCCACUCAGUUUUAUUUGUAUUACAGGAAGUGGCACAAGGGCGUAAGAUGGAUGGAUCAUCUUGUUGUUUUGUUUACAAGUCUGUAUAUGUAUAUAUUUGUUGAAUGACUUGUAAUGUUUAUCGUUUAUGCUUUAUGGUCUGUAUCGGAACAUGACAUCCCGAGUUUUGAUUAUAUAAUGAAAUGCAUCUCUUGAUGAAAUGCUUUGAUAAAUAUUAUUUUAUCAUGUUUUGUUUUGGGAACAAAUUCCGCAACUCUUUCAAAUCAAAAGGAUUUACUCUGAAAUUAUUUAAAAGCAUAAAUGAAAAUCGGUCUUUUCUGGCCGUGAUUUUGGGGAUGUCACAACAGCCUUUUACGACGCACAAUUUAUGAUACGCAUGGAUUUACGAUACGCAAAAGCGUGUGACCUAAAAAUAAUGUCAUCUCUCUAUAAAUUUUAAGGAUUUAGGACGUGCAUUUUUGCGUGCCCUUAAAUUAGUGUCUAAAAAAAGAAAAAAACAUGGACGGCGCCUAUAGUAAAAUGUGUGUCGUCUGAAGAUGUCGCUUUAUAAAUUUUAAUGGAAACGCGCGUUCCAUCAUUUAAUAGUUGGGGGAAAUCCUUUAAUAGUUGUAUGUCACCAGUCGGCAACCUUCACUCUCUCCUUUUCCUUUUCUCUGUAAACCCUAAUCCGCCUCCACCACUACCGAAUCUACCUCAACUUACCUCUGACCUUGGCUCAUCUCUUUCCAAUCGCUGCUAAUGAACUUAUUUUGUGUUUAAUUUGGGAUCAAAUCGCGAUUUUGUACACCGGAAGCCUAGAUGACAGGUCCGACGCGGCGGCGGCGCUUGAGCUUGAAAAUGGAUUGUAGAUAUUUUCAUGUUUCUUUUGGAUAAAAUAAGAUACCUUACCAUGUCAACCACAGCUUGACUAGAGAGAAAUUCAAACACUCCAUCACUAGCAAUCACAAAGAAAUUAAAGAUGAUCUGGAGUAAGAUCCAAUGCAACAAUUUCUGGAUUUGCUACAACACCAAUUAUCUCAGCAAUUGAAUCACCAAUGCUUCUUGUAAAAGUUGUUCCAGGGUACAUCCAUUUGGGACCCACAACCUGGGAGGAUCACCAUCAUCACCUUCUUCAGUGUCCCAACAUUGCACAUCUGGAUUCUUUAAACCUUCAAUCUGAUCCAAUGUAAGAACUCUUGCCCCACAUAAUCUAACGCUUUCAAGCUCAUCUUCUCUAAAUGGAGUUUGAUCUAUUGACAAAUCAAUUGCCACAAUUUCUGUGCCCCCUUUUUUCAGCUAUAAUAGCUCUUGAAUCACCUGAAUUAACAACAUUUUCCAGUGGAACAAAAUCAUAAAUGACAAGGUUAACCAAUUUUUAAACAACCUAAAGAAAGAAAACCUAAUAUGAUUCUUGUUAAUGAUAUCCAAUUUGAAGCUAACUUUUAUGUUUGGAUGGAACAGGUGACUAAGCAUCCUAUGGCCAGCAAGGAUGAUGAAGUGGCAUUUAUAUAUUCUGAACCAGAUCCUCCUAGUUUCCUUUGGCAGGUAGUAAUUAAUUAACACUCUUAAUUUUUAAGACCUUAAUUUAUGAAUCUCAUCAUUAUUUGAUUCUCUUAAAAACAGGCUUCUACAAUGUUUAAUGAGUGGUGUCGGAUACGUGAUCGCCAUGGUGUCAACGAUGUAGCUAGUGCUCAUUUUGUUCAUCAAAAUGUAUUGACAAGAGCUGAUGAUAUGCCAAACUGCUUUUUUCGCCGCCUUAUGGUGAUUCUGAUAACUCAUGUCCCUUGUCCUUUACUCUCAAACACACACGCAAUUAUAAGGAAAAAAACCAUAUCUUGAUCACUUGUGAUAUUAUUAGGAGCUUGGCAUGUCACACUAUCUAUCUUCUUAAGGGACCAAUGAAGAAGCAAAUUUAUCAUCUUUCCUUACGACAACCAAAUGGCAGCUAGAUCUGGUGAUGCUAAAGUGUUGCAGCUUCAUCAUCGCCUUUAAAAAAGCCAUCAAAUCAAUCAUUACAUCCUCCAUCAUCCAACACCAUAAGACCAAUUAGUCAAGACCAAGUAGUACCCAAUUCUAGUGGUCAUUUAAACACAAUGUUACCCCAUAAUCAAUAUCAGAUGCCACCUAUCCGCCAGUCAGCUUCACCCCCUGCUCAGAUGCUAACUUAGCAAAAACAAACUAUACAUGCAGGUUACCAGUCGUCUCAAUAAGCCUUCUCACAGCUUCAACAACAACUGCAACUGCAAGUGCAACUUAUCGCACCUCAGAAGAAUCUUCAACCUACUGUUCCUGCCAUCCUUGAAAUGUAACUAGACUGAGCAGACGUCACCUGAUGGAUAUAGGUACUACAACAAUAGUACAACUAGCGAAAGCAAGGUAAGUUUUAUCUAUUUAUUUAUUUAUUUUAAAUAGAUUGAUAUGUUGAAAUACAUACAUACAUACAUACAUACAUACAUACAUACAUACAUACAUACAUACAUACAUAGCAGUGGGAGAAAUCGGAGGAAUUGGCUUUGUUUGAACAACAACAUAUGCCUCAAGAACAACAACAACAACAACAAAAGAAACAAAAACAACACAAAACUCAGAGUCUUUCACACAGUCAAGGACAUCAGCAAACACAAACUCUCACUCAAGGUGUGCCACAUCAGCAAACUCAGAUUCCACAGUUUCGGAAUCAUAUGCAACUCCAAGCACAUGGGUGACACCCUCAACACUUGCAAAAUCUCGUUUAAGUUAUUUUUAAGAUCAUUUGAUUUGAGUUUGUUUGUCUGAACAUGUGUACUAUUAAUAGGGCCACCUCUUGAAAUUAAGCUCAGACCUUAAAGCAAGUGAAAUCGAAUAGCAUUAACAGGGUCACCUCUUCAAAAUAAACUCCAUUAUGUUGUUUAUUAAUAUAUGAUUUUGAAGAUAUCCUUUACUAAAAGGAAACAACAAGUAAGAUCAUGAUUAAUACAUAUAUACACAGUAAAAACAUCAAAACUUUCAAAGUUAUCACAUUCUAGUUUGUUUUUAGUUAGUUUUUCUCAUCGGCACAGUAAUGGAAGAGAAAAUUAAUACAAUGUUACUAUGUAUAUAUGUAUUAAUCAUGAUCUUACUUGUUGUUUCCUUUCAGUAACAGAUAUGAGUUUCAAUUUGGUUUCUCCUGAGUUGGGAACUACUUUCCCUUCAUGUAGCCAAAGAAUUAUACCCUUCGUAGUGGGAAUUUUGAGAUCCAAUCCAGCACAGAGCCUCAAAUUUUUUGUAUUAAUCAUGAUCUUACUUGUUGUUUCCUUUCAGUAACAGAUAUGCAUGGCAGACAGCACUCCAACAGGUUUGACUAUAUUCUUAUACGUUUUGACGUUCACAUUCCCAUAUUGAUCUUGAUAUUAUUGUUUCUACUUCCAUGCUAAGUUGGCUUUUAUUUGUAAUAUAGGAGGUCCAAAAUCUUGAGAAAAAGGCUGCAGAAACUGUAGUGUUGGUAAUUGAUGAUGAAUGGACUGAGUAUUUGAUAUCAGAACUUCUCAAGUUGCUUCUAUUUCCAUGUUGAGUUGGCUUUUUAUUUAUCUUACUGUUUAUUAUCAUUUUUAUAUAAAACCUAAUCAUUUAUAUUAUAUAUAAUACAUUACAGGAUGCCUAGGAAGCACUGUCUAUAUUUGUUAAUUGUUACAAGAUAUAAUUCAAAAUUCAAUUUCCACAUUCUGUUGCUGAAAUGACCAAUUAGUUUUGGCCUACCAAAGAAUGCAUUCGCUGCUCUAAUGAAGAACGUGAGUGUUUAUUUUUCUUUUCUGUUUGGUGAAAAUCAUCAAAUGACAAUCUCAUUAUAUAUCUUAGGAUCUUAUCAAUUAAUGAACUUGAUCGUGGGUUUGAUCAAGCACAAGUUUACAUUUCUACCCCUGCUUUUAUCUUUUAUCUAUUGUGUUAUACAAUUGUAUUUCCCCUUUUUUAUAAGGUUAAUUUGGUGGUUAAUUAUGAUAUCCCUAUAAGACAUGAUCAUCAAUCUCAACCUGACCAUGAAGUGUACUUGCAUUGAAUCAGAAGAGCAGGGUGAUUUGGGCGUAAAGGUAAUUGUUUUUUUAAUAUAUUUUUUUGGAAAGAGGAUUCUCCCAUAACGGGUGUUGUCUGGGCCAGCUUUGAAGCUAAAUGGCCACAAGAGUGUAGUAAUAAAUGACUAUAUAAAUAGUUUAUAAUGUAUGUGACAGGAGCUGUAUUCAACUUGCUAUCUGGUGAAAGGUACAACAUGAUCAUGGAAAGAAUUGAGACACAUUUCAACCAUUAUGUCACUGAGGUAAAAAAAAUUAUACACAUUCCAUGGAAAUAUAUCUAAAUAAUUUGCAGAAUGUGUAGUUAAUUUGAUUACAUAAUUGUAGGUGACAUCAUGGACACAUGAUGAAUAGUUUGAGGAUGCGUUAAGAAAAGUUGGUUAGAUGUAAAGUUUUAAAUUUUGGACCUUUUAUGAAGUUGGUUUAAGUUAUUUACUAAACUGCAAUGGUUUUUGUGUUGUUUGGGUGGGAUUUAUAUUUGUUGCAAAAGUUGGGAGUUAUAAAGAGUCAAUUAUGCUUCAUUUCUAUCAAAAGCUAAAAAUCAGAAUUUAUCAUUUAAAAGGAAAUUAAACAAUUUCAUUGAUUUAUAUUCCAAUUUAAAGGUUGAGUUGUGUUUUGUUGCAAGAUACCAUCUUCAUGGUCUAAAGGUUAGUGCACUACUAAAAAUGUUUUUAAUUUAAAAUAUUGAUUUAGUAAAUCACUAAAUUGGUGAUUUAUACCUUUUAAUCUAUACUUUUUUAUAAAAUUCAAAACCCUAAAACUGGUAUUGGAUGUAUUUAGGAUCAUUUUGGAUGUUGAUUAUAUAUUCCAUUAUGUACUUGCAUAUCACAUCUCUGAAUCCUAUGUAGAAGAAGUGUCAAUUUUAUAUGUGGUGUUUAUCUCCACAUAAAAACCCUAAAAUAUGGAUGUGCUAAAGCUAAAGAAAUUACAAUGCACAUACUGGAUUUUAGCAAGUCGGAUAAGUUUAAAAUUAUCUUAAUAGGAUAUUGAUUAGAUUACACUACAUGUAGUGUAGAAAAUAUGAUGAAUAUUUAUGAUCAAUAUUCAACUUUUGAAAAUGUAUCCAGUUUGAUAUUUAUCUGUUUGACAUUUUUUUUGACAGAAAAUAAGAACACUGGAGAAGACGAACCACAAAUUGACACUGGAAUGAUCAAUGGAAUUAUUGAAGCCCUUCAGGUAUCAUCUCAUAUCACUUGCUUAUGAAAUUUCUUCAUCUAUACUUGAAAAGAUAUAUUGAUUUUUGUGUUGUCUCCAGGCCAUCCCUGAUGUAGUUCUCAGCACAACAGUUAUGAUUUUGUGAUGUUAGGCUAAACUAUACAGAAAAUCAUUAUUUGUUUUCGGAAACGUUUCAGCGUUUCUUCAGACAGCUUAAUGAUGAGUUACUGAAACAAGAAGGUGCCUCUUUAUAGCAAUGUAGUAUUAGGUUAUACAGUUAGGGAAAACCAAUUAGUAACAAUGUACAAUUAGAUCCCCUUAAUAUCAAUGUAUUAUAAUUUUUUGUCAUGAUGUUAUUAUAUGAAAUUGAUUGCUUUGGUAUAUAUUUGUUUACAUAUUUUUGUAUUAUGCGUAAAUGAGUAUUGUAAAGACGCAUCGUAAAUGCAUAUUGAAAAUGGUUACUGAAGUUUAUGACACGCAAAUGUGUGUCAUCUUCAUUUAUGACAGGUAAGGAUGAGCGUAGGCAGGUACCCACCUCAUUUGGCGAGAACCGGAACCGGCGGUUCCUAGAAAGUUAGAACCAAAACCGGAACCGCACUAGGCAAUUCUUAAAUGUUUGGAACCAGUCCCAGAACUGGCGGUUCCGGUUCCGGGAGCGGGUAACCCGGUCGCAUUAAUUUUGUUAAUUUUUUGACAAAACCGCAAUUUAGUUCGAUCCAAAUCAAAACAAUUCAGACCAAAGACAGACAAAAUUGAACCAAUAUAUUUUAAACUGGUCUAAGAAAUACACAUUUAUAUGAAAUUAUAUAUAUAUAUAUAUAUAUAUAUAUAUAUAUAUAUAUANUUCCGAAAAAAUGAGAAUUGGAACCGGAACCGCUUAAGGCGGUUCCAUAACUUUAGGAACCGGAACCGGAACCGUUUAAGGCGGUUCCAGUUCCAAAACCGGCAGUUCCGAGGUGGUUCCGGUUCCAAAAGUGGGUACCCGAUUCCGAUGCUCAUCCCUAAUGACAGGGGCCUCCUUGAUACGCAUUGCGUGUCAUAAACACGCGCGUCAUCUUCCUUUAUGACAAGGCCUUCCUUGAUAUGCAUUGUGUGUCAUAACUGCGCGUCGUAAAUGCAUGUCAUAAAUGCGCGUCGUAAAUGUGCGUCGUAAAUAGACGACGCGCAAAAGCGUGUCGUCUCUCGUUAUGAUAGGGCCUUCCUUGACACGCAUUUGCGCGUCGUCUGAGGGUUUUACGACAUGCAUUGCACGUCGUAAAAGGCUGUUUUUCUAGUAGUGCAGGAGUAUGUUGGGCAUACUCCAUCCAUAUACAAACCCUAAUUUAGGGUCUUGGACUCUAUUUAAUGGCCUUAAAUCAACUCCAAACCCUAUUACCUUCAACCUCCAUCCCACGAAACCCUAGCCUCCAUUGGUGUGAUUCUUGAGUUCUUGGGGUGAUUUUAUGUGUUUUGGUGCUCAUUUAAGAAGAAGCAGCUUCUUCAAGGAGUAUUAGAUUGCUUGAAGCUUGUGGAUCCAGACUUUGUGCAUCUUGAUCUAUCUUCUGGAGGUAUAAAGCUUCAAACUUUAUGGUUCUUUAGUGUAGAUCUAGUGAUGGGAAUGGUUAUAAGCAUGUUUGGUCCCAAGAUUGUGGUUCUUGUGAGUGGAAGCUACUCCAGGACCUUUGACCCUUAUAUUUGGUCUUGUUAAGGUUAUUAAGUCAUCAAAAUGUCAUCUUGAUGAGUUAUCUUGGCCCAUGCAUGAGUUAGAGUUAUUCUUAUGGUUAUUUUUUGGGUCUUGGGCCCCAUUAAGUCAUUAAAUGGUGUAAAUUUGCCAACUUUACGUGUUAAGACACCAUUUAGGAUCAGAUAUGAUAGUUUAGCUUAGUGGCUUAACCGAUUAAGUGCGUAAUGGAAAGUUUGGUUGUCUGUAGGGUAUGCUGGGCGUACUGGCCCCAAAAGAAGUAUGUUGGGCGUAAGUUUGAGUAUGAUGGGGGUACUCAUCAGCUUGAAUUUUGUUGACUUUUACAUUUUGGGCCAUUUCUGGACUAUUAGGGUUUUGGGUCUUGGUGGUCCAAUAGUCUUUCCGACUUUGGGACAUUAUUAGGCUUUGGAACUUCUUCGAUUUAGAUCCAUAAUGGGUUUUGGGCCUCAGUUAGGAGUUUGGGGUAUAUUGGGAUUUUGGGAGCUAUUGGAUUGGGCCUUGGUUUUUGCCAAGUGAGGAAAGGGUCAAUGGUCUUUUACCCUGGGAGUGGACAAAUGAAUCAGAUUCCUAGUUAUGGUUAAGGCCUAAUUAUUAAUUGGGUUUUAUUUUAUUGAUUAGCGCGGGGAUUAUCCGGAUCAGCAGUGCUGAUCCGGGAGGUUAUCAGGUUUUUCAGCGGUUUGAGGUGAGUUUCAUCACUGUGAUUGGCGAAUCGAAGGCACCAAUGUAGGCCCAUGGUUUAUUAUGAUUAGGAUGCUAGUUGUCUGCGUGACUCUUGCAUGUAUGAUAUUUGAUAUGUAUAUCGGACGGGGCCCGAUGCUAUGCGGGGCCUGAUGAGUAUAUUGUAUGUUAUUUAUCUUUGUGAUUCGUGCAUGUGUUUAUAUGUUUAUAUGUUUGUAUGUAUAUCAGGUGGGGGCCGUUUCCAAGCGGGACCUGGUGAAUGUGUUGAGGCGGGACCCAUCUCAUGUUAUCGACAGAUCUGUUCCGAGCGGGGCCCGAUGUUGGGUGGGGCCAAAUGGUUGUUGGGCAUGGCCCAUUGUAUGUUUGAUAUUUAUGGUAUGUGGUUUUUUGGGAAAUUCACUAAACUUUGUGCUUACGGUUUUAUGUUUAUGGUUUCAGGUACUUGCGAUACAAAAUGGAAGGGUCGGUGUGACCGCACUACAUCCACCCAUCUUUCCGCAACUUAAUUUAUGAUUCUAGGAUUUUACUCUGAUAACCAUUUUUACUUUGAUAUAUUUUUGAAUGAUUGAAAAGGCCAAAUGGUAUUUAUAUGUUGAAUUUAAAACAAAAUUUUUACCUUACAAUUUUUGCGAUUGUUAUAUAAUGUAUACAAAUAAACUUAAAUGGUCAAUUAUAUACAUUGUUGAAAUUUUGUUACACUUACAAAUCAUUACCCCUUCUUAAAAUGGACAAAAGUAGUUCUUGUUUUUUUUAAAUAACAAUUUUUUAUUUGACUAAUAAGUAACACCCUUAUAUUGGUCUUAUAGUUUUUGGCCAUUUAAAUAAAAAAUAAAAGUUUUAAAAAUAAAAUAAAUAUAAGCAGAUAAUAAGUUUUAUAAAAAUAAAAUAAAGAAUAUGUAUAUGAAGUUUAAAUGAUAUAUAAGAUGGAAUAAUGAUAGAAGAAUAAAUAAUUGGAUUUUUGAAGAAAAUAUGGAUCAAUGGACUAAAGUUUUCAUAAUGCCAAACUUGCAAGGGUUAGUGUUGACUUGAUCAAUGAUCGUUAAUUUAUAAAGUAUGAGUUUUGGGUCUUAAGUGUGAGUCUUAAGACUUUCACUAAAAGUCUUAAGUAUAAUGGUGAUCGAAGUAUGAGGGAAGGAACUUAAUAGUUAAUUGUGACAAAUGAUGAAAGAUAAGAUGCUAUACACCCUCCUCAAUUCAACAAUAUUCAACAACGAGAGUGGCUAUUGAGAUAAUUGGCGAUUUAGAGGGUUAAAUGAAGAUAUAAGAUAAACUUGAUGAAUAUCAUACUAAGGUAUCAAAAUGGAUCUUAUAAGGUAUAACCUUUUACCUUGCCAUCUAAUUUUCGAUCUAGGGUUUGGUUAUUAGUCAAAUCCGAAUUUUUUUGAUCAAAAAUGUUUUAAUUUUCAUUGUGAUGUUUGUUUAGUUAGUGGAAGUUAUUGGCAUGUACAAUGCCACAGGGAGAAGCCUCGAGGAUGUCUUGGGAAGCAUUUAUGGAGCAGUUGAAAAUGUAGUACUGCUCGGAGGUAGGUAUGAUUGACCUAAACAACGAGUUUCAAAACCUGAAGAAAGGGAAUAUGAAUGUUGAUGAUUAUGCCAGGGCAUUCACCAAGAAUAUGAAAUUAUUCCCCUACUUGGUGCCUAAUUAACUCUCCAAGAUAAAGAGGUUUGCUAACGGAUUGCUAGCGGACUUUGGCCCAACGGUCAAAAUGGAAACUACUUUGAAGAUAGUCGUUAGAGCAGCCAAUAAUGUAGAGACCCAACUUCGGGAGAAGGGUAUGGAGAGGAAGGAGGCAAGAGAGAAAAGGAAGUUUGAUGGAUCUUUAAGGACCAACAAUAAAAAUAGGUUCUCGAAUUCUGGUUCCAAGAAGUUUGGAGGAGGAAGAGGUGAAGCAAAAUGGUGUAUGAAGUGAAAAAAGAAGCACUCUAGGAAAUAUGGUGAGGAGCUAACUUGUUUCAAAUGGGGGGAAAUUGGUCAUUACGCCAAUGAAUGUACAUCCACACACAAGAUGGAAUUCUGUGUGGAACUUAUGGGGGUCUUCAUUUUCUAGCCCUCUAAAGGUUGGGAGUAAAUGGAUGAGGCUGGAUUUUAGUUCAAGAUUGGUUGCAACAGGAUAUGUGAUAUAAAGAGAUUGUUGAGUAAUCUCAUGCCUCGCCUAUUGGCGAAGGGUUUUCUUGGGUGGGUUUGGUGGACCAUGGUUUUUAAUGUUACCUCCUUGGUCUCCCAUGGUAGGAGUAUUACUUAAGGUUUCGGUGGAUGUAUGUUAUUCGUUAUUGUGAGUGGGUGAGGAAGGUGGUGUGAUAUUUGUAGGUGAGGAUGUUUGUGGUGAGAGUGAGAGAGUUUCUGUUUCGGACGCGGAUAUACUUAAGAGGGUUAUAUCCUCCUAAAUGUUGAUGAUUGGUGGGGUGGAUGACGAAUAAGUCCCGAAACCUGGUUGCCUCUUACGAAGCUUGUCUUGCUUCCGUAACUUUUUUGCAAUUUUCUCUAUCUCCGUGUCAAUUGGCAAUGGUGUACCUGUACGAAAAAAUAUAGGCGUAAACAAUUAGUAACACCGUGUCCCCGGAAACGACGUUAAUAUUUUUGGGUGUGUCAAACCCAACAAAUAAAGGGGUACAAAAUGACUCCAAAAACACUGUUACUUUGCACUAAAAGAAUAGUACAAGAUAAGAAAGGUUGAUCCACAGAGACACAAGAUUAACGUCUAUACCUCUUGGCGUAAGGUACUUUAGUCACAAAAAAUGGGAGAGUUUUGUAUGCAGUAAUCCAAACAAAUGAUUAGAGAAAUAUGUAAAUGUUUAAUGCUAAAUUCAUUCAUUGAAACUCAGUUUAGUGUUUGUUACUUAGUCUAAUUCACAAAACAAUUCAGCUGGGUUUUGCAAUUUAGAUAACUUGAUUGACCUAACCCCAAUUCAUACGGCCAAUAAGAAAUAAAAUUAGAAUGAAACAUUCGGUUGAAACAAAAACAAAUUCACUAUAUAUAAAUUGAAAUAAAACAUCAAGUCACAUGAUUGAAAUCAUAACUAAAAAUUCAAGACAUGAAGUUGGAGAAACUAGGGUUCUAGCCACACAUGACUAGAACAAAAUCACACGUCUAUAAAACGAAAUUAAAGUGCUUACAAAAUGAAAUCAAAUGUUCCUAAGUGUUAAUCAACUCCAAAAUUCUCCAUAAAAUCACCCAAAUUACUCCCAAAGUUAAUAAAUGGAAAAAUGAAGUCGACUGUCACUUUUUAGAAAAGAUGAGAAACUACCACUAAACCCACGUCUUCUUUUCCACGACCCGUGGAAAUUUACACAGACGUUUCCACGACCUUUGGAAAUACAGAAAGUUGGAUGCUGAGUUGGGUCGAGGCUUCAAAGUAUGUUGUUGGAAUAGGUUCAUUUCCACGGCCCAAGGAAAUUCGAGGCUAAAAUUUCCACGACCGUGAAAGUCUCUAACUACGGGGUUUCUUCAAUUUUAUGCAACUCCUUCCUCUUUGAUCUGAAAGUCAUGGAAUCUUGUCCGCACCUUCUAGUUACCUCCCUAAGUGAGAUCCCACCUCUAAGAUUCCCUAAAAUAUCACAAAAGUGUGUGAGUGAAAUAAUAUCAUGAAAUAUCCUAAAAACAUGUAAAAAAAUGUAUGGACUUAAGCCUAAAUGCAAUGUAAUGAUAUGAAAUAAAAGUGCAAAAUAGUUGCAUAAAAUUCACCUAACAAUACUCAUAUUGCUAUAGUAUUUAGUAUGAUCCAAAGACAUAUCAAAAGGCCAUGGAGUCUCGAGAUGUCGUCUUUUGGAAGGAAGAGGUUGAUGACGAAAUGUCAUAAAUACUUGAGAACAAUACAUGGGUGUUGUCAAAUUUGUGUCCAGGUUUUAAACCACUUGGUUGGAAAUGGAAUUUCAAAAAGAAAAUGAAUAUUAAUGGGACUACUUACAAGUACAAAGCUCGGUUGGUCACUCAAGGUUUUAAACAAAACUCGAUGUUGACUAUUUUGAUACGUAUGCUCCAGUUGUACCUAUUUCUACUAUUAGAUUAUUAAUUUAUUUGGCAAGAAUUCAUAAUAUGGUUAUCCAUCAAAUGGAUGUCAAAACAACCUUUUUAAAUGGUAAAUUUAUGAAUAAGUUCACAUGAAACAACUAGAAGGUUUUGUUAUGCCCGGUAAAGAGCAUAUGGUAUGUAAAUUGGUAAAAUCUUUGUAUGGGUUGAAACAAGCACCCAAACAAUGAAAUCAAAAGUUUGAUGGGGUUAUUUUGUCUUUUGGUUUGAAGUUAAACUAGUGUGACAAAUGUGUUUACAGAAGAUUCAAUGAUGAUACUGGUGCAAGAGUGAUCAUUUGCUUGUGUGAAGAUGAUAAGCUGAUUUUUGGUACUAACCAAGAACAAGUAGAUGAAACAAAACAAUUUUUAUCAUCUAAGUUUUCCAUGAAAGAUUUGGGAAAGGCGGAUGUGAUUCUUGGCACGAGAAUUAAAAUGGUGAAUAAAGGUUUAGUGAUGACUCAAAUUCACCAUAUUGAGAAAAUUCUCAAACGGUUUAAUUUCAGUUGUUGUUCUCCUGUGAGUACUCCCAUGGAUUCAAGCAUGAAUUUAAUGCUUAAUAAUGGCAUUCUUAUUUCACAAUUGGAAUAUUCUAAGCUUAUUGGUAGCUUGAUGUAUACAAUGACAAGUACGAGGCCUAUUAUUGCUUAUGCAGUGGGAAAGUUGAGCAAGUACACUAGUAAUCCUAGUGCUCAACAUUGGCAAGCGGUGUAACACCUCGAAUUCAGAAGACCUAAAAAGGAAAGAAAAACCUCAAAAUCAGGAAGUGACUCGUCGAGUUGAUGGGAUGACUCGACGAGUAGGAGCGUGUUUUGGGUCGCGGGUAAAGUGACCUACUCAACGAGUUAGAGGACUGACUCGGCGAGUUGGUCAAGGUUUGGGAAACCCUAAAUACGGUCCUUGUACUCUAUUUAAAGGACAUUAUAACACUCAAUCAACCUCCUUAAUGCUCUCUCAAGACCAAAAUGGAACCCUAGUGCCUUCCAUGAGUUUGUGAGCCAUUGUGAGCAUUUUUGAGUGUUGUGAAGCUUGAAGAAGAAGGUGAAGCCUUGGGGAUAUAAGAAGAGAUUAGUAGAUCCAAAAACCUCUUGCAUUCUCCUCCAUUUUCUGGUAAGAAAGCUUCCACCUUGAUCAUUAUGCAUGUAGAUCUCUUCUUUGUCACUUUUGGGGUUUUUUGGUUCAAGAACCCUAGCAUGAGAGGAAUGGACGUCCCAAGGGUUUGAGUUUUUAGAUCUAACACCACUAAGGGUUGUUAUGGCAUAAAGGUGCAAGCUUUAUGCCAUAGGAAUUCCCAUGCAGGUAUAUGAGGUGUUCUUUUGGCCUUUUUAGCUCAAAAGGCCAUGAAUGGAGGAAAAAGGCAGUAACUUUGCAUGGUUAUGAGGUGGUUGGGUCCAGAUCUAUGUUUUGGAUGCUUUGAGACCCUCAGAAAUCAUCUGAAUAGAUUGGGACGUAGAGGGACUCGGCGAGUCACUUAUGGGACUCGGCGAGUCAGACCGUUUUCUUGCCCCAAAACCCUUCUGUUAAAGCAUAUGAAUUGAGUUGGUAAGGACUCAGCCAAUCUGGGUCCAUAGUGGACAUGAAAAUCAUCAUACUCGACGAGUUCAAGGAGGAACUCGGCGAGUCUAAGGAAAUCUCCUUAAUUUAUGAAGGUGGACUCAACAAGUUCAAAGAGGAACUCAACGAGUCAGAUGAAGGAGGGUCCCGAUGUGCUGAAGGUGCACUCGACGAGUUCAUGGAGAACUCGACGCGUAGGAUCGAAGUCCAGAGCUUUGUGUGGAUUGCGGGACUCGGCGAGUUGGUGGGUCAACUCGGCGAGUUGGGUUAACUCGGAGCAUUGACUUUGACCAAGUUUAAUAUGGUUUGACUUUUGAGGGUAUUGUGGUCUAAGUGUUAUUUUGGGUAUUGACAGUUCGGGAAGCUGAAGGAUCAAUAGUUCAGGAGUUGUCGGAUAGCAGUCAGAAGUGCUCAACUAGUCUUCAACAGUGCAAGGUGAAUCUCCUCACUAUUUGUAUGGGUCUAAGGCACCAAUUGAUGGGUUUUGGUCAUAAGACAUCCUAUGUGCUCAUACAAACCCUAAAGCUCGGAUCUAGGUUUCUCUAUUGUACAUGCUUUGAAUCCAAGACUAUAAACCCUAAUUCUAGCAUAUGGAAAUCAGAAUUCACAUGUAAAUAGGUUUAAGAACAUACGUUGAUUGUUAUAUAGCAAUAACAAUCCAAUUCCUCCUUGAAUUGACCUUGGAAAGCUAAGAGUCACAAGUGUCACUCCUCUAAUGGCUUACAAACACCAUAAGCAAGUGGAGAAGGUAUAAAGAGAGAGGAGGGAGGUUAGAAUUCGUCCUUAGAUCCUCUUGGGAAGAAGUACACGAAUUCUAAGGCCUUGGGGGUCUUUAUAUAGGGUUAGAAUUAGGUUUUCAGUCCUUAUCCUUAUCUAGUUGCUUGUCCACCAAGCAACCAUAAGAUAACUCUUAGAAACCCUUAUCCUAGUCGAAUUCUAAGUGAUUAUCACCUCAAAUUCGUUCACCAUAUAUAUAAGAUAAUCCUUACCUUAUUUUGUAACUAUCACAUAAUUACAAUUCAGCCCCUCUAGUUUAAUUAAUUACACUUGAUCACAAAAUUAAUUCUUAAUUAAUUAUUGACCAAUAUUAAUUAAACAAAUAUGAUUUCUCCUUUAAUAUAUUAUUAUUAUAACAUAUUAAUAAAUCAUAAUAACCUCUCUCUCUUUAUUUAUUUCUCCAAUCAAGUUGCUUUGGUGAAGGCAACCCAAAAGGACCAUGCACCAUCGGGUCAAGUACAUACCAAAAUAGUUAUGGACUUAGACACUAAUCCAACAGUCUCCCACUUGGAUAAGUCUAACAACUAUUCUGCGUAUGACUUCGGAUCCCGAUCUGCAAUCGUAGCUUUCCAAAGCCGCUGUCAACUCUGAUCAUAUCAGAUACGCGUGUCCUUAGAUAAGGGAUCAUAUAUUCCUCCAUUCUAGAUAUCAUAUGAGAUAUGAUUUCAAAUCAUUCUCUUUGUACUAUAUCUCGAUUUCCGAUUUAUGACGACUGACUAAUUGAACAAAUCAAAUUAGCCCUAGCCCGGCCGAGCAUUUACGUUUGUCAUCACUAAACCAUCGAGGGGCCCAAAGAUAUCGCUUUUAUCCUACUUUGGAUAAAAGGAACGGAUAAACUUUGAUACAAUGCUUGCUUGCACUCACUCACCGAAUCACACACAACAAUAUGUUUUAUAACACCAAGUUACUAGUGCGUUUACAUAUUAUCAAUGUGCAACCGAUUUGCAAGAUACAACUCACACAUCUCGGUUUCAAGAAUAUAAGAUGUUAUCGUCUCACCAAUCACUCGUGAUACAAUUCAUGGAGUGAUCCAAGUGAGCGUGGGUUUAAUCCAAUGCUCAAAUCACAUUCAUAAGCACUCAUGAACGUUGCAGCAAACAUUUGCUUAUGUCUAAUACUCUUUUAGACAAUCCACACACCAAUUCACGACAGUCUUCAUUCAUAUCUACUUCCAACAUAUGAACGACUGUGGCCCGUUUGAAUAAUUCGAUUAUUCUUAAUAAACUCAAUUAUUCUGGAAGUCAAAACAUGCAAAUGUGAAACACAAGAAUAAUACUAAUCCCAUAUGGCCUCAAACCUUUGAGUAUAAAUAAAACACCUUUUAUUUAUCACCAUAUUGAUUACUCAUUAUUUGUCGUUUCGGGUAAUCAACUUCUUACUUGAAUUCCAACACUUGUCCCAUGCUCCUAGCAUGCACACAAUGUUUACCUAUGGUUCUUACUUUGUGAAAUAGAUCACAUUGAACACAUUUCCAAUCCUUCUCAUUUCACAACUCCAAAUCCGUUUUUCAUAAGUCAAAGAAUAUCAAAUUCUUGCUACUUAUAGAAUAUGCUAGAUUCUAACAUUCUAUGCAACUAUCCUUUCGUAAUGUCACUGCACCAAAGUCACAAAGACUAUUGCCAAUGAUAUUACAAAGUCCUCUAUCGGAGAUUGUUACAAGACAAUUCCAUAGACGUGAUGUCUCUCACUCAAAGUACAUUCUUUGAACAUCCUUUUGCAUAGAAGUUUCUAAUCUAGUCAUAGAUUUCUCAAUAUUCAAUUCCCAAUAUGGACACACUUCCAUAUGUUCCAUAUGACAACUCAUUCUUAAUAGAAUCUUAUCUAUUCGUAAUGAUGUCGAUAUGGUCCAUCCAAUAUGGAAACAUUUCCAUAUUUUCCAAUACUAUACUUCCAACUACUCACAAGCGACCAAUCCUCGUCGAACUUUGGAUUGUCCUUUGAUAGUUGUUUAAUUAUUUUAGUCAAAACCAAUUCUAGUCCCUUUUCCCUCUAAAUGCGCUCGACAUUUGGAAAAUUUUAGAAUGGUCAAACAUUAAAGCAUUUGCAAUCGAUCCUAUACCCGAAGCGUAUGGGACACGACGCAUAAUGUUUUAUUUGCUAUGUUCUCAAAAUUCGAAUUGUGAAGAGGGAUGCCGUAAUCAUAAUCGAAAUUUUAAGAACACACUAUGUACCUUUGACUAAAUUUAUUAACAUUUCUCAACCUAAUCCUUUAGAUUUGAAAUGAAGCAUAAUAUUCUCUCCCUUAAUUAUAGCAAAACAACUAUUCCAUCCUUACAACUUUGCAAAGUAUGACUCUUGUUUUCUAUAAUUAAUAUUGCCAACUUGCAAUACUUUCCUUAAUAAUCAUACAAUCAUAACAUUUAUGCUCCCACUAUCAUGAUGAUUAUUAUAAAACAUAACACUUAUGCUCCCACUAGCUUCGACAUGUAUUCAUAAACAUCUUAACUUUCAGAAAAACAAUACUUAUUGAAUUUCUUAAGUUCAUGUUUCUAAUACUUAGUGCUUUGAUAAUCUUUUAUCAAGGCUUCUUGAACUUAUACACCUUUGCCUUCGAUAGUUCAUAUGUGUGUCUAAACAAUUAAGACUAAUUGCCAAACCUCACAAUUCAAAUUAUGGAAAGGGAUACCGUAACCAUAAUCGAAUUCGAGAAUGCAAUUUUACAAUCACUAUCUUCUUAAAAUCUUUCUUAGUGAAAGCAUUUCCUCACAAUCAUUUUCAUGAAGGAGGAAAUCUUAUGACACUUAGAUUUAAACGGUGUAUGUGUUCCUAUCCAUGUGAAUUUGUUAAAACCAAAGUUUACGACAAAUUCAAACUCAUAUGGACCGAACUUUCUUAAUCUUGAUUUCUUGCCUUAUGGUAGCACAGCUGCCCACCAUGUCUUCCAAGUAGUUAAGCAGCUCACCCUUUCCUAUCAAUGUACCUUUCAUUGAUUAAGGUGCUUUGCCUUUUAUGCGUUCAAAAUGAGAACUCAUAGAACUCACAUGCAUAAUUAACUCGAUUGGAUUGGCACAGAAACAAAAUAAUGUCAACACGAUAGGUUGUAAACCUCAACUCGUGUGCUAGUGAUGAUCGAUAAGGUUUAUUUGAUUUGUUCUUGAAACCUUUCAAGACCAUUAAGACUCCCACUGACUCCUUGACAUAUAAGAUUCUCUUGUCAAUAAACAUUUCUUGACAAACAAAUAUUCAAGAGUUAGUGUAGUUUUUAUCAAAACACUUCAUAAAUUGGUCCUAGUUGGUCUUUGUCUUAUCCAAGACAUCACAACUUUCCACAUUUGAUGAAUGUUAUAAACCUUCUUAAUACUUUUCACUCAAUGUCACAAUCUUAACUCUAAGACUUGUUUUGGAACGAAGUAUGAUUGACUUCUUGAUUUAACCAUUUCUUCAAUUCUUGAUUCCUCUUCUUAGACAUACAAUUGUACUAAGACUCACUUAGAGGAUCAAUUGAGAUAUGGUUCUUAAUCAUUAAGACCUAUCAUAAAGCAUAAAAGGUACUCUCCCUUCUUCUUAGAAUGGAGAAACUUUUAUCUUUCUGCCUACUUGAUUCUUCUUAUUCGUUCUGCUAUUGAUUUAAACUUUUUCAAUCAAUUCAGAAUUACACUUAAUCUUAUAAGUAUAAUCAUAUUUACUAAACCUUUAGUAAAUCAUGACGAAUAUCUUUGUUACUCUUAUGGUGGACUUGAUCAACACGCAACUUUGUGUACUCGAUCUCCUAGUCCUUCACUUGACACUUUGUCAAUGAAUUAGUCUAAUUUCCAAAUAUGAAAUUUCUCAUUCAUCGUGCAACCAAGUUGCAUGAUUCCAAGUUUCUGUCCAAUUGAAACUUGGGCGAUGAGAAACUCUCCCUAUUUGGUAAACUCUCGACUUUCCAUAAAUAACAUAAUAAGAACCAAAUCCAUUAUUGCUAAUAAUAGAAACAUUCAAACAUCAAUUUUUCAUAUACGCCAUUGCAAGGAUAAAUAAAUAAUAUAAAAUCAAAAUUUAUUUUAUUGCGGAAAAAAUUUGUCCUUACAAUGCAAUUCAUUGAAAAACUAUGCUAAUACAUCUUUCUUAGCAAUCUAAUUCUAACUCUAAGUAGUAGCUCAAGAAUCUAAUCUUCGAGAAAUGCGAUCGAAAUCCAUUCCUUCACGGUUAGAUUCUGCUCACUUCUUCCCUUAAGCUUCCUUUCUUUUCUUCGAUCCUACAAAACAUCAAUUGUAAUCUUAUCACAUUAUGUAUUAAGAAUCUAGAAUAGAAGCUUAAAAGAGUUAGUUAAUGGAUUUUACCUAUAUUAGAGCCAUACGUUUCGACUCUCCCAUCUCUUAGAUCUCUUAGGUAAAUGGGGCAGCUUCGUCUCCAAUGCCCUUUCUCUUGGCAAUAAAAGCAAAUUGACUCUUUUGGAACAUGACAUGGAACUACUUCAGACAUUGCCUUUCUCUUAUGAUCAAACUUUUCGAUCAUAGCAUGUCUUUCGUUGCCAUUGUCUAUAUCCAUAGAGGUCUUGAAGGCAGAUUCACCAAUCAACUUUGCUUUUCUAUUGCGCCAAACCAUUGCUGAUUCAGCAGCAAUAAGCAUAUAGGUGAGAUCUAUAAGGGUCACGUCGCGGUUCAUCAUAUAGUACUCUCUUACGAACUCACUAUAUGAGUUAGGAAGUGACUGAAGAACCCAAUCAACAGCCAUUUCCUCACAGACAACGGAUCCCAACAUUCUUAACCUAUCAAUGUGUGACUUCAUCCCUAGGACGUGUGCACACACCGACUUUCCUUCUUUAUGUUUACUUGCCAAAAGGGCUUGAGUGAUCUUGAACUUUUCAAGCCUUUGAACUUGUGGGUUAGGGAGAAUAAUUGGAGGAGGAGGAGGAAGUGAAGCAUGAUUUCUUGUUCCUCGAUCGAAUCGUGGAAUAUCAUCUUCAUGUGGAAUGCUUGUUCCACGGGAUUUGGGAAGACCAUAGUUGUCGAACUUUGACAUCUACAAAACGGGAGAAAACGAAUUCAAGUUAGUUGAUUGAUUGAGUCCUUAGUAAAUCACCCAAAUGAGAUACUAAGGCUAGGACCCAACACAAUAUUCUACAACUCGGGAGAGGGAUGCCGUAACCCUAAUUGCAGAAUAUUUGAAGGUAAGUGAAUGACGAUUCACUAAUUUCCACCACGAAAAACGAAAAAGAAAUUUAAGUUUUAAAUCUAUGAAAACUCCUAGAUCCUUUGAGAUUCAUUGAACUUUCAAUGGCAUGUUUAAAUCUCGAUAUGCCCCUCUUGUUUGUGACUGGGAUGCCGAGGAUCACAAAGCGGGUGUGAAUAACCAUGCAAACUUACAUGGUGCCCUCACAUGUUACAGUCACCUAUUCGAUGUGCCGGUAAACCACACACGCUCCACCGAACUAUGACAAACAUUGAGUCACCCUUUGCUACCUUUGCUUAGAACCAUUUAGUGUGCCGGUUAACCACACACGCUCCACUAACGUCUUCGCAAGGGCACAAAGUGUAAUUUCAUGGAAUUGCAUCAAUUCACUUUUGCCUAAGUAACUAAGAUUGGGAAUUUUAUGAAAACAUUUAGUUACUUUAAUAAUUCAUUAUACUUAUAAUGGAAGGUUUCGUCCUAUCCUACCCGUUCGGCUAACGACCCUCCACUAGUCAAGAGUGCGGUGGGUAAGAGUGGAUACCCAUUCAAUCGCCAUUUUAUAGGCAAUUUCCUUAAACACCCCUUAUAGACCAGCUUCGUGAAUGAGGCCUACUAACGGUAAGACUGACUUUUACUCAUACAUAUAUAUAAUGUUAGACUUUUAAUGUUAUAUAUAGUAUAGGGUGUAUUUUAUACUUUUAAAAUACUAGGUGGUCUAAUUUAACAAUUAUACUUUUAAUUCAAUUAAAUUGUAAACCUAAACUUUUAUGGAUUUAUUAAACCUCUUUUAAUUAUACACCUUAAUUAAUUAAUAAAACCAUAAGGGUGUGAUUUGAACUUUUUCAAAACUAUACUAGAGUUUUAGAAUUUAACAUUCCUAAUUAAACUUUUAAUCAACUUUUAAAUUCCAAAACUUGAGGGCAAGUUUUGAAACAUUUCAACACAUUAGGGUUUAGAAUUUAAAUAUGCAUCAAAAUUAAACUAUUUAAUCAAAAUUUAAAUUCCAAAACUUGAGGGCAAGUUUUGAAACCUUUUUCAAAACAUUAGGGUUUCAACUAUUUAAAUUUCAAAACAACAAAACUUUUGGGGUUCAAAUUUAAACUAUAAAACCUAAAGGGCCAAAUAUGAAACUUUUCACAACAACAAGGAUCAAAUAACAAAUAAUUCAAAUUAACAUUUAAUCACAUAAUUAUCCAUAUUUGAUGAUUUCUUGCAAAAUAAUUUAUCAAUUUACUUAAAAUAAUUAAUCAAUUAUCUUAUAAGGAAACAAUUAUCUUAUUAAUUGAUAAAUAUCUUCAAUUAGAUUAAAAUUAUAGUCAAAUAUAUCAUAUAAUCGGAUUAAUAUUAAUCUAACAUGAUAAGGUAAUUAUCCCAAUGCAAAAACAGCAAGAAAUCCCGAGAUAAGCACUGUCUGACGCACCGACUCGCCGAGUCACCCUCUGGAACUCGCCGAGUAGGGCUGACUCGCCGAGUCCAAGAGUGACUCGCCGAGUCAGGUCGAACAGUGAGGCCAAAACACGAUUUUCAGAUAUAUCAAGCAUCAAUACAAUAGAAACCAAUCAAGGCUCUGAUACCACUGAUGGGUUUUGGUCAUAAGACAUCCUAUGUGCUCAUACAAACCCUAAUGCUUGGAUCUAGGUUUCUCUAUUGUACAUACUUUGAAUCCAAGACUAUAAACCCUAAUUCUAGCAUAUGGAAAUCAGAAUUCACAUGUAAAUAGGUUUAAGAACAUACGUUGAUUGUUAUAUAGCAAUAACAAUCCAAUUCCUCCUUGAAUUGCCCUUGGAAAGCUGAGAGCCACAAGUGUCACUCCUCUAAUGGCUUACAAACACCAUAAGCAAGUGGAGAAGGUAUAAAGAGAGAGGAGGGAAGUUAGAAUUCGUUUCUAAGACUUCUUGGGAAGGGAUACCCGAAUUCAUAACCCUAGGGGUGUUUAUAUAGGUGUAGAGAUAGGGUUUCAGUCAUUAUCCUUAUCUAGUUGCUUAUCCACCAAGCAACCAAUAAGAUAAUCCUUGAAUCCUUAUCAUACUCGAAUUCUAAGGGAUUUACACCUCAAAUUCGUUCACCAUAUAUAUAAGAUAAUCCUUACCUUAUUUUGUAACUAUCACAUAAUUACAAUUCAGCCCCUCUAGUUUAAUUAAUUACACUUGAUCACAAAAUUAAUUCUUAAUUAAUUAUUGACCAAUAUUAAUUAAACAAAUAUGAUUUCUCCUUUAAUAUAUUAUUCUUAUAACAUAUUAAUAAAUCAUAAUAACCUCUCUCUCUAUUUAUUUCUCCAAUCAAGUUGCUUUGGUGAAGGCAACCCAAAAGGACCAUGCACCAUCGGGUCAAGUACAUACCAAAAUAGUUAUGGACUUAGACACUAAUCCAACACCAAUGUCUGCCCAUUAUGUUAUGAUUAUGUAUAGUAGGAAGACCCGGGGGUUAGCCCCAGGCACUUAUUGUAUAUGUCCCGGGUUUCGACCUGAUGCCAGGCGAGGCCCGAGGAAGGUUAGAAUGCUAGAGGUGCUUGUGAUUCUUGCAUGAAUAGGUAUGAUUGGUUUAGGACCAAGGGUCCGAUGUCGGGGUAAGCCCGUAGUACGAUAGAUGAUAGUAUGUUUCCGGACCAAGGUUCAAUGUUGGGUGGGUGCCCGAGGAAUUUUUGCAUGAAGGAUUAUACUUGUUGUCUGUGUGAUACUUGUAUGUGCCUGGUAGGGAGGUGAGUGUGGGCGAGGUCCCGCAUCUCACCAUUAGCAGAGUAUGGACGGGGUUCCGUAUCUCAUUAGUAGUGGAGCAGGGGCAAGGCUCGAGUUAAGAGGGAGGUGAGUGUGGGCGGGGGCCUUUAUCUCACUACCAGUAGGAGUGUGGACGGGGUUCCAUGACUCAUCAGUAUCAAAACAGGGGCGAGGCCCAAGUUAGGCGAGGCCUUAAAUCAGGAGUAUAGUAGAGUAUGUUUAGCUUAUUGUUAUGUGUUAUCUUAUAUGUUGUAUAUGCUUAGCGGGCGAGGCCCGGAGACAUGCAUGGCUUAAAAGAAACAAAUAUGUAUACCGAGUGGGGCUCGAUACCAGGUGGGACCUGAUGCCAGGCGGGGGCCCAGUACAUGGUUAUGUGUUCAUGGUUAUGCGUAUCUGGUUUGUGGUAGGUUUGGGAACUCACUAAGCUUUGUGCUUACAGUUUCAACGUCGGUUUCAGGUACUUCCGGUAGCGGAGGGAAGAGCUCGGGGUGAUCGCAUGACACACACACCAAAGAAGUUUUAGCCGGGGAUUGUUUACUCUGAUAAAAUGAACAAGUGUUUUGAAAUGAUACUCUGUUGUGUUGAAUAAUCCUGUAGUGAUGGUUGAAAUGACUUAAUACUUAUGGUUUAUUAAUGUUUUAAUAAGAAAUUUUUGGUCAUGACUUCUGGGAUGUUUCAAGUUGGUAUCAGAGCCUUGGUUUGAGGGAUUCGGGUACACUCUUGGGUGUGUCCGGACUCAAACUGAGGACUUGGUCAAAGCCANNNNNNNNNNNNNNNNNNNNNNNNNNNNNNNNUAUAUAUAUAUAUAUAUAUAUUUAUAUAUAUCCUUUGUGAUCAUGCAACCGCUUUAGCUAAGGCUUACAACCAAGUUUAUAAUGGAAAGUGUAGACACUUAGAUGUUAGAUAUAGUAUGAUUAGAGAACUAAUCAUAAAAUGGUGUGAUUUCGGUAGAGUUUGUGAAAUUGCAACAAAAUUUGGCAGAUCACUUGACUAAAGGUCUGACAAGAGCCUUAGUGCACAAGUUUGUUAUAGGGAUGAGAUUCAAGUCCAUUUAAUUCUAUAAUGGUGAGACACCCAAUUACCUUCUAAUAUGACAUUAGGAGUUGAAUUCAAUGUGAAAAGCUCACACUUAUAGAUUGGAACACAUGAAGUAUACAUCCCUGGUAUGUGUUUGGUUUUACAAGUUGGCCAGCCUGAAGUACAACUUCUUAAUAAUUCCUUUGAUAAAAUGUAUAUGCAUAUACAUGAAAUAAAGGAAUUACCUAUGUGAUUGUGAAGUGUAGCCGCAUUUCAAAAAGUUGGGGACUUGGCCUUGAUACAAUCAUGAGAGAAUUAGGACACACGACUUUAUAAUAGUGUCAAGUUGUAUUUCAUUAGAAUGUUCAAUAAACUAGUAUGUAUUUUACUUUCAUGUAUUUAGUUGGGCUGAAGGGUUCAAUUUUUAGAACACAUUGAUUCUCAAGUAUUUAAAUUGUUUGAUACUAAAAUGGGAAUUUAAUCGUUUCGAUAUUUUCAUUUAUGUAUUGGUUUGGGUUAUUUAGAUAAUUUUAUGUUAGUUAAUGGGUUACACUGAAAUAAGAGAUGAUUGUUGGUGAUUUUAGUGUCACCUGACAUUUUGUGUAAUUGGAACUGCGUGUGAGCCAAGGGGCUUAUCGUUUGUACUCUAUAUUAUAUGUUUGGUGAAUGCGACAUGUACCUAUAAGAUCGAGUUUUAAACAGGCACGACAUAAUUAGUUACAUUAUGAAAAAUCCGAAUUCUAAUAGGUAAUUAUGGUAAAACUGACAAAUCUUGUCAAUUUUGAUAACAAUUGAUUAUGCCAUUAAUUUCGAGAUUUGUAGUAAUUAUGGUAAAAUUAACUAAUCUCGUCAAUUUUGGUAACCAUUAAUUAUGUCAUUAAUCUCGAGAUUUGUAAUAAAUAUGAUAAAAUUGACAAUCUUGUUAAUUUUGGUAACCAUUGAUUAUGUCAUUAAUUUCGAGAUUUAUAUAACUAAUUUAGAGGAUUUACCCUAAUCAGUCAAGGAUAAAUACGACUCAUUUAUUGAGCCUCAGACCCUUCUCAACUUUUCUUCUUCUAUACGAACUCAAAACUCUCUGACGAUUUGGAUUGUGUUUAUGUGUCUAGAUGCACAAGUGUCAUCUUGAAUUAUCUUAGACUCGAUUUCUGUAAGCCAGACAUAGGGUGAAAAUAACGAUCCAAGAGAAAUUCGGUUCUCCACCAUCAUCCUAUUCAAAUAUCCUCCAACAAUCCUUCCUCUGGCUGCUCAAGUCCAACUAGGUUUCUUCAAGAAGCCUUUUAAUCGAUUUCGUUCGGUCUCUCUCCAAAGGUGUUAAUGUUUUAUGUUCUUGAUGUAAGAAGUCAAUGGGUACGACACUAUUAGACGGUUAUGGUUUGAAUGCAUCUUCACUAGUUUUCAUUACAAGGUAAUUCUAAACUUUUCUUAUGGGUUAAUAAAAUUUGUUUUUAAUACGUGAAUAAUGUCAUCAGACUUGAUUAUGGUGCUUAAUCUAUGUUUGCUUCCCCUACCUGUAUUAAUUAUGUUAUUGCAAAUUAACAUAACAACCCAACAAAAAAAGAUUAAGAUUAUAAAAAAAUUUAUACCUUAAAUAGGGGUCCACAACAUGCCCAUUAUAUAUUUUUCUCAACCCAUGAACAUAUUUUCAAUCAAAGAUAUGAUACGACAUUUUUUAUGUGGAAAAAUAAUAUUUUGUUUGUCAAAAAACAUAAUUUUUUACAGAUAAGUGAACAUUUUUUUAUAGGCAUUUAUUUAUAAAAUUUGGGGCUAUUUUGGUUCAUCACCUAUUUUUUUUUAUUACAUAUUGGAUAAUGGUUAAUGAAUUGGUGUGAUUUGUUUUUUUUUUUUUUUUUUUUUUUUUUAUAAAAGAUAAUUACAAAUUAUAUUUUAUUUAACGAAAAAUUUGUCUGUGUUGGAUUUUUAAUAGAGUGUGAAAAGUUGUAUUGGAUUGGAUCCUGUGUAGUUAGUUGGGAUAGAGAGAAAUUAAUUUUGUUUAAUUGAAAAGUUGGGUUGGAUCGGUUUCAUAUCCAAUUAAGUACAGUGGCAAAAUUGUAAUUUGAAAAUCCUCUGCUACUUUCCUGCAGAAGCUGAAGACGUUUUCUGAUUUCCGGCAUCUUCCUCCGCUUCCCUCGUUUUCUAUCGUCGGAGAACCAUUUCCACGCCGUAGAAUCUUCACUCCAGAUGAAAAAAUAAUCGAUGCAUGUACGAUCGUCUAAACCCCUAAUCUGAGAAUUCCAGGUUUGCAUCUCAUCGUCGAAAUUAGAUAUAUAUGCCCUAGCUUUCUGGAUGUUAUCAACCAUCUAACUUUCUAUAAUUUUAAUGGAGCUUGAAUUAGUUCUUCGUUACAUGUAUUUACUGAGUUUCGUGCCUCUUCGAAGGACUUAUACUUCACAUGUGUAAGUCACUUGGUUUUUUCGCUCAUUUCAGUGGUACCUAGUUAAACAUGUUGUAUCAUGUAUGUUAGAUUUCCCGUGUUUAUUUACUGCAUUUUUGGGCUGUGCAUUGUCUCUAACUCUGCAUACAAUAUUGGGGAUUUUAAUCGAUGAGUAUCUCACCAUUCUGUUUACAAAUUCACCGGAUUCUUAAUAAACUAAUAGUUAGAAGCGUAGAGAAAGGUUACCGAUGAUACUUCUACUAUGCUGUAACUUCUUGUUUGGUCGUGCAACUCAUGUACUGGAUUUUGCGUGUAUUUGUUGUUUAUAAUCGUGUUGAUGGAUCUUUGCAUUUGCAGUUGCCACAAUGGCAAAGGAAGAUGGAAAUACAAAGUCAAAGAGGAAAGAUGCAUCUUCUGCUUCACUCUCAGGAUCAGCUGAUGCCUCUGGUUUAAGAAGAUCAGGCAGAGAAACACCAUCAAAGAAACAAGCAACAGCAAGUCCUUCGUCUAAUGCUCGUAGGUCUGAACGAAUUGAGAACCAUGCAACACCAAGUUCUUCUCCAAUCAAGAAGAAACAAGAUAAAAUUGAAGAACAGAUGGGGCCAAGUCCUUUGAGAAGGUCUGAUAGAAGUAAGAAACAAGUUUCACCAGAUUCUUCAGGAUCAAAGAAGUUAACUGAGGUGACUGCUUCACAAAACAUCAAGAAGAAAGAGAUAAUUGCAAGCAGUUCAAAAGAAGAUCAAGAUGCAGAGGAUGUUAGUGUAGAUAACAAAAAUGAAAGACAGGAUCCAGAUGUGGGUGGUAGGAAAAGGAAGAGGAUGACUGUUCAUGGUUAUAAAGCUUUAUUCAAACCUCAGCGUUUAAGAAUUGAAGCAGGUGCAUAAGUUUAUACAUCUUUUUUUUUUUUUAAUGUUUUAUCAUGAUAACUUGUUGUCAUUAGUAGCUGUCCAUAGUUUCUUUCUUUAGAUGACAAUUUGAUUACUAAUAUUUCUCUUUAUACAAUCUCCCAAAUUUACAAAGACCCAAAACUUGUUUUGAUCUAUCUUUUAAUAGUAAUUACACUCUAAUGACAAAUGGACCACACCCUUAAUUUACUAUAGGGCUUUCGGUAUGUAAGUUUUUUCAUGAGAGCAGUCUCAUUUUAUAGGUAACCUUCUUAGUUUAUGUUUCUUCUGUAUGCUUAUGAGAUUCUGAAUGAAUUGGUCUGACACUUUUUUCUUUAUUGGCACACAGAAGAUGGCCAUGAUUCAGAUGUGCAACACACACCAGCUGAAAGUGGUAGGACUACUGAAAGUGGGAAUGGGGAAAAACAAAUUGGUGGCAAAUGCUCACAAGAUGAUAAUACUACUGAAAGUGGGAAUGGGGAAAAACAAAUUGGUGGCAAAUGCUCACAAGAUGAUAAUGGAAAAAUGUCGACACAAUAUAUUGAUGUUGAUGCUUGUGAAGAUAAUGAUAACCAAAUCUCCCCCAAAUCACCAUCAUCAGGGUGCAAGAAGCAUGGUGAUGAUGAAACUUCCCUUGCAUGCUCAAAAGAGCAAAGGUAUGAGUACUUAUCACAUUCGCCCCUUUCCUUUUUGGGUUAGAGUAUGUGCUGAAUUCAUGUAUUCUAUUAGAUUCUUUUUCACGUAUGAAACCGAGUGUUUAACAUCUGCGCAUUAGUUAUCUGGUCAUUCCAUUGAGGUCUUGGAAAUUCAUAGAGCUAUCCUGUAUACUGCUGAUUAGCAGUAUUGUUUUUAUUCCUUUUUUCAAUAUAGAGAUUACGGAAUACGAGUCUAUUAUGCCUACAUUAGCUAGUGAAGGGUAAUUUUGGUAUUUUAUAGCUAGUGAAUGGGGAUUGAGUUGGGCAUGCUUACUCUUGUCCCCUCAUUACUUUCAGCUUAUAUUGCUAUUAUCUGCUUUCUACUUUAUUUUGCAAGUAUUUGCUUGGGAAACCAAAAGCCAUAUUCAAUGCUUUUAGUAAAAGUUUAAGCUUUAUAGCUUUUAGGUUGUUUUAAUUUUUUAGGAAGUUGAAGAGUCUAGUAUUUAUUGUACUUUAAGUGGCUUUACUAUUUAGGAAGUUGAAAAGUCUAGUCUUUAUGACUUUUAAAAUCUUUUUAUUUCAGGUUAGUUGAAGAGUCUAAUCUUAAUGGAUUUCCUAAUUGUUAAGUCAUUUAUCUUUUACCUACCUAUUAAAGGAGAGAGAGACCAUGUAAUGACAAAAAACAUGAAAAUUUGAAUUUAGAAAUCUAGUCAGUUUCCUUAUCACUCUUUAAUCCUGAUUCUAGGCCAAAAGAUUUUUACAUCAUUCAUGGUGACUUUAUAUUUAUAUAAUUGGUUGGUGAUCUUCAAUUCUUUUCCUUCUCCAAUCCUUUCUUUCCUUCAAAUUCAUUCCAUAAAUGAUUAAUGAUAAAACUAAAUACAUUCAACAAAGUGAUGUUAGUUACUCUUUAUGAUGCAGGAUCAACAAUGAUUCAAAGAAUCAACAGGAACUUGAGUCUCAUGACAAGACAUGUGAGAAAGAUUUACAAGGGACAUCUACUUCCAAGGUGAGUGAAUACUACAAUCCAUGUUGUUUUCAUGUAUUGUCUGUAAAUGUAAAGCCACCCUUGGAACAUUAUUUGGAAAUUUGUUAUGUUAAUGUUUGUACUAGGUUAGAAAGACAUGCCAAGAAGGUGGUGUUAUGGAGGAUACAGAACACAAUAAUGCAAAGUUUGUAGAAUUUUGGGUUCCUGUUCAGAUAUCAAACUUGCAGCUUGAACAGUAUUGCUCUACUCUACUUUCUGAUGGAAUGGCUCUUCGUUCAGGCUCAAAAACUGAUAGUGUUGAGGCUCUUCAUAACAUUCUUAAAUCCAACCGCAAGGUAUUCUUUUCUUUCAUUAAUUCAAUAUUUUUAUUUCUCUCAUUUACAGAUUAGCAUCAUUAUGCCUUUUAUCUGAUAUGAUAUAGUUUAAGACUUAUGAACUUUAUAGAAAACAAUUUGGAAUAAUGAUUUCACCAUCUUCCUGCUCAUUUAAGAUUGUGACACUUGUCAUAUUUAAUAGAAUUAAUAAUUUUUUAUUACACUUAUCAUCAUCUGAAAAUGGUAGGAGGAAAAAGUAGGAGAUAUUUUAUUUCUCUAUAAGUAUAUAAUUGAUGUCAUUCUACUUGAACCAUAUUCAUUUAAAACUGCCAUAACUUUUCAACUUAUCUUUUAACUACUACAUUAAACUCCUUUAUUAUUCUAAAUUUAUAUGCCAACUCUUGAAUUUUCACCCUAAUAUACAUAGUUUAUUUAUUUAAAUUGUGUGUAAAACAGUAUAUUUUUAAUGUUACCACUUUAUAAUAUUUAUCUAACAUACUUAAUUUGUUAGUUUAAAUAUGGUGUUAAAUUUAAAACAUAAAUCAAAAUUUUAAAUAAAGUUGAAAAUAAUUGUCCAAAGUCUUUUUUUUUUUUAAAUAGUUAGUUUUUUUAAUAUAAUGUUAAAUGUAAAACCUAAAUCAAAAUGCCAAAUUCACAAAAUUAGACCCAAAACUAUAUUUUUUUAUAAUGAAAAUUUACAGUGAAUUAGUUUUUAAAUUAAUUAAAAGUUUUUAGUAUUUAUACAUAACAUAAAUUAAAAAUUAUAUUAAGUUACCUACUAACCUUGAAAACAAUAACCGAUACCAAUUUUUUAUUUUCAUUUAUAAUAAGGAAAAUUUACAAAGAAUUAGUUUGUAAUUAAUCAAAAAUAAUAAUAGUUGUAAGUAAAAAAAAUUAAAAAACAUAAGUUACCUUGAAAAUAAUAAUCAUGAUCAAGAUAAAAAAAGACCAAAUAAAUUGUUUUUAAAUUAUAUAACAUUACAAUAGUUUAGUAUCUAUCUUUUAGUUAACCCAUAUGAGAAUUUUUCUAUCUAGAUAUUGUGUGUGCCAACUGCUAAUGAAUAAAGUUUUAAAAGUCUUUUGAUUAUCAGAUGUAUAUAUUUACUAUUUAAUGAAUCUUAUUUUUCAUGUUGAAGUGUUGUAAUCACCCAUACACAGCAGAUAAAGAUCUUCAAAAAUCCAUCACAAAGGAUCAACCAACUAUGAUUUAUGACAUUGGUCUUAAAGCAAGUGGCAAACUUCACUUUCUUGACCUAAUUCUCCCCGAGGUCAAAAAACGCCAACUAAGAGUUGUCAUCCUUUUUCAGGUACAAAUUAAAUAAUUUCACUUAUUAUUAUUAUUAUUAUUAUUUAAAAAAAAUAUAUAUUGACAUUUACAUUUUCUUCCAACAAACAAACAGCCUACAGUUCCUGAAAGAGUUACCACCGAAAGCAAUACUCCUCCUGUUACACUUGGCGACAUUUUGGACGAUUUUGUCCAUCAAAGAUUUGGUGAAGACUCUUACGAACGUGUGGACGGGGCCCGCAUGGCUCAAAAAUCAAAACAGGCAGCUUUUAACAGCUUCAACAAUAAUCCAAAUAAAUUCAUCUUUUUACUAGAACGCUCCAGUCAACCAAGCAUCAAAUUAUCAUCAGUUGACAUUGUAAUCAUAUUCGAUAGUGAUCUCAAUCCAGCAAACGAUAUUCGAAAAUUAUCAAUCGAUUCGGAUUCACAACAAAAACAGAUAAUGAUUUUUCGUUUGUAUUCCAAGAACACACUUGAAGAAAAGAUUUUAAAACUCGCUCAACAGAAUGUUGCUGUUGAUAGUAAGCGAAGUAGGUUGACUUGUGAUGCUUUGUUAAUGUGGGGAGCCAAAGAUUUGUUUCAAAACUUGGAGAAGUUUCAUGGAGAAUCUGGAAAGGAUAUUUCAUCUCAAGGAAACUUGUUGAAGGAUGUAAUGGAGGAGUUUUUGUAUAUACUUUCCAACAAAGGUAAAAAUAAGGAUGGAGAAAAGUCAAUCAUCACCAAAGUUCAAACCUGUGGGUAUUAUGGGAAUAGAAAUAUGCCCUGUGGUGAGAUUAAAAAUCAGUUGCCUGAUGGAGAACAGCCGCAUGUUUUUUGGAGAAAUUUAUUGGAAGGAAAAUACCCUCAAUGGAAAUUUGUACAUGUGUCAACUUCAAGACAAAGGAAAAGAACACAUUAUUAUGGUGAAUCAUCGGACACAAUUGCCCCUGUUGCUGAUGCUGUAAAGAAGCGGAAGAAGUCUCCUGCUUCAAGGCCUGUAGAAUGGGGGACUGGAGGGGCAUAUGAAGGUAAAUUAACAAUUUUUUUUUUAAAAAAAAAAAAUUUAUGUGCAUUGAUUUUUAUCGUAAGUAAAUAAUUCAGAUCUUGUUUCAGGUGGCAAUAACGAGUCUCAAUCAUCUCCUGAGCUUCUACAUCCCAAUGUGCAUGAGCUUUGUAAAAUCCUAAAGUUUCCGGUAUGUUACUUUUUCACAAUAAUGCAAAUGUAACAUUUUUAAUUAUAUUUUCUUGGCUUAAAAAAAUAAAAAUACAGGAGGAUGUCAAGAACAAAGUGGAUGGAUUUCUUGAUUUUGUUCUCAAGAAUUAUAAUGUCAGUAGGGAGGAUAAAACUACUCUACAGGCAUUCAUGAUAUCAUUGGUAUGAACUUUUUUUUUUAAAUCCCUAAUUUUUCACAUUAUUAAUGUAUUUAAUUUUAAUCAUGUCGUUCAUCAUUUCAGUGUUGGAUUGGGGCUUCUCUUGCAAAACAUAAAAUUGAUAGAAAGGAGUCUUUUGACCUUGCAAAAAAGCAAUUGAAUUUUGAUUGUAAGGAAGAACAGGUGAAUUCUGUUCACUUGAAGCUUGAAGAAGCUAAAGAGGAUUUCUUAAACCAAACAGAAACACAAGAGAAACAUGUUGAAAUAAAAGAUUUGAAAUCGCCACCUCAAGCCAUCUGCACAGAGUCAAAGUCAACCAACCAGAAAAUGUCAACUGAAAGUCAACAGAAUCAAAAUGUUGAGGUAUCAGUUGCAGAAAAUUUAGAAUCUACGGAAAAGCUAAGUGAAGAGAUGGAGGAGUUUAAUAGGGAAUGGAAUGACAGAAGGGCAUGUUUGGAAAAUGAGUACAAAGUGGAGAAAGCUAUUAUUCGUACUGUGCAUAAGAACCCUUCCAAAAGAACAGAGAAGUUAAGAUUAUUAGACAAAGAAUUUGCGAAAAAAAUUGAAGAACAUGAAAGAGAUAAAGAUAUUCACCUCAAAGAGCUCAAGGCAACACUCCUGGCUGAUGACGUGGAUGCUGAUGUGGCAGCUAAACCUGAAACUUCAGUUUCUGUUGGGAAUCCGGGUGAUAAAAUGACUGAAACGCCCUUGGAAUUGGAUGGCGGUAGGGUUCAGGAUCAGUCCAAAGAAAGGGGUAGUUUGGGCAUAGGUGAUGACAUCGAGUCAACAGGUUCGCAUACCUCGGAAAAACAAAUGGUUGAUGCAACGGUGUUGUCGUCAAGUGUAGUAGAAGCAGAAGUAGAAGUUGAAGUAGAAGUAGAAGUAGAAGUUCCGCCAUGUCAGCAUGAGACUGUUGAUGACGUGGCGGGGGUAGUAAUUGAAGAAAUUCCAGCUCAGGAAGGUGAUGGAAUUGUCAAUGAUGUUGAAUCUGUGGAAGCUGAUGUGAACCAAGAGAAUAAUAGUAAAGGAGAGGGUAAUGGCGCUGAGGUGGCAGAUCGUGUUGAUGACACUGGUGAAACGGGAGUGCCAGGUGGCGAUGAAAUCAGAGAACAUGAUGAAGCACAUGCUGUUGAAGAGCAAGAGCAGAAUGAUUCAUGUGGUUCCAGUAGCAGCAAUCAACCGUCUGCAGGUGUACCACAUGACGAUACACCCUCAGUUCAGUUGGUUGCUUCUCAACCUCCAGAUCCUCCAAUGCCAACAGUUUUGGUAAGUUAAUCACAUGAUCAAGUCUUUCAAAUUCAACUUUAGACAGAAGGGUAAAAUGGUCACUUAAAAAAAAAAAACUUUGUUUGGUUUUGUCAGGAAACUGAAAACGAGUCUGUUUUAGAACAACUAUUAGACCUUGGAGUUCAAGAGAAAGAAGCACAAGGUGAUCCUAAUUCAGAAGAGCAGCCUCAUGAUGAUCCAAUGGCUGAGAAUCAAACCGAUACGCAGCCAGCCAAUGAAACCACUUGUGAAAAUGACGUAAACGCCCCUGAUACAGUAAACAACCAACAAACUGGGCAACAAGAAGAACAAGUUUCUACACAGAAUUCAAACCCACCAGAAAUCACAAAUCAGAACACAUCACAGGCACAGCCUGUAACAAACCUGUUUGAUCUUCCUAACCAAGUGGCAGUGGCUCCACGGAUACCAAAUCAUGGUGAUCCACUUCAAGCUGAACUGGAGCGGUUAUUUGCCCAUAGAGAUAAUGUUACAAAGUUUUAUGAAGAUACGGUUAGUCUCUAAUUUUAAUUUAUAAUAUAUUUUAUUUUUUUGGUAUUUCAUGUUUUUGGGUGUGUAUACAUACAGAAACAAAGGAUGAAAUCUGAAUGUGAGAAGGAAAUAGCAGACAUGAUUGCUCAAAUAAAUCUAAAAUAUGAAGCAAAGUUUAAAGGAGCAGAAGAAGCUUUUCAGUUAAGAAAGAAGGAACUUGAUACAACGGUUAACAGAGUUAUGAUGAAUAGAAUUUUAGCCGAGGCUUUUAGGGCCAAGUGUCAAGAUCACAAUCAUUCUGGGCCAGGAAUGCAGAAAGGUAUGCCUAUGCCCUCAUAAUUAUAUAAUUUCUUUUUUCUUCCAUAUUUACCCUUUUGUUUUUUUUUUUUCUUUCCAGUCUCUCAACCUGGAUUAAUGCAACAACUCCAUAGAUUCUCAGUAAGACCUUCCGUUUCCGUUGGUGUUGUUUCAUCUUCACCUGGCCAAUCAUCUGGACGACAGCAGACACCACCGCCACCGCCAUCAUCAUCACCGCCGCCGCCUCCACCACCGCCACCGCCANCCGGCGGCUCUUUUCUCCAACACAGUAAUCAGACCGCCACCACCUACCAUCAACCCAGUCACCCCGGUUAGCAGACCACCACCUAACAUCAACCCAAACACUAGACCGCCGCCUACAAUCACCCCAGUCACCCCCACCACCGCCACCAGACCACCACCCAACAUCACCCCGGUCACCCCGUCAGCCGGAAGUCUACGUGGCCCGGCCCCACAUCUUCGUCCUUUAGUAAACAGUGAUAUUCGCUCCCCGGCCCCACAUAUUCGACCUUUGGUAAACAGUGAUAUCCGAGCCCCGGCCCCACAUCUUCGACCUUAUAAACCUUCCACGUCAGCAUCUCCUGAAUUGACACCCUAUCGGAGGAUGGUCCCGGUGCCAGUGCCAGGUCAGCAUGUCACAACCCCCCCAAAUACCCAACCGCCACUACCUCCGGAAGCUUUUCAUGUUCCACCACCACCACCACCAAGUGGAGGAGGGGCUCAGUAUAACUUAGUGGACCUAACUGAUAUCUUCCACGAGGAUAAUGAAAAUGCACCACCACAACCACCACCACCACCACCACGAAGUGGAGGAGGAGUGGGUCUUGAGUUGGUUUGCUUGUCGGAUGAUGACUAGACUAACUAUAUUUAUAUAUAUCUUUUGUAAAGAAUGUGCGUAUAGUUGUAAUGGGCAAUGGCCAAUUCUAUUCUAGAGGAGUUCAAAUCAAAUGUUGUAAUUUUUUUUUGAAAUUUUGUUUUGGCCCCUUGCUUGAGCUUGUUAACCACGGGUUCUUUGUAGACUUUCAUGGUUUUCUAGUUAUUGGACGUUGAUAUUUGAGAGGAAAACUAUGAUCACCUUU
rnacentral:lncRNA from 1 species